AAAAAAAAAAAAUGUAUACACCAAGACAUAAUCUAAUGGUAAGUGCAUAUACGACCUAACAAUAGAUUCAAGUUUGAAUCUCCUCCUCAAUACUCAAAAAAAAAAAAACGCCAUUGUAUAUAACAUGAUAGGGUUAAUUUGGCUAUCAUAAGUGUGACCUUAUAUGAGAAGGAAAAUUAUAACAUCAAUAGCACAUGUGUUCUGCAUAAUCUAUUGGGUGUAGAUUCUGGUUUUUAAUUAACGUCAAAUACAAAUAAAAAAUUCUUCUUUGCUGAUAAAAAAAAAAUAGCACAUUCACUCUAGCAUGUUCUUUAUUUUGACAAAUUUGAUUGAGAAAUGCAUAUAUAUUAUAAGCUAUGUAAUAAAUAUAAUUCUUCAAAUUGAUAACACUUUAUCAUAAUCGUUAAUGGGAAGAUUCAAUUUCAAAACUCCCAUUUCUUUCUCCCCUAAAAGGAACAAAGGAGACUGAUCAAGUUACUCUCGAAUCUUUGAUUGGUACAAUAAACAAAACAAUAACUAUAAAUACGGAACUACAGUGAAUUAAUAAUAUGGAAAUAAUUAAUCAUAUAUGAUCAAGGUUAUGAUAUCUCUUUUUUUUUUUUUUUUUUUUUUUUUUUUAUUAAUCAGGAGGUUUAAUCUCCCUCGAACCAUAGAAUAUAAAUAUUUUUGACUCUCUUAGAUAAGUGCGCUUCUUAGAAAUCGAUAUACGUGUUGGUCAUACAUUAUUUUGGUCAAUAGGAAUGCAAGAACCUAUAGACAAAUAGGAAAAUGUGCGUUGAACAAGUGGGUCCUUUUAGCAAAUUAGAUGUGUGCCGUGUAAUGCACGUUAAAAAUAUUAUAGCAUGUGAAAAAUAAAGUUCAAUAGUAAAAAAAAAUUGUUUUCAUUAUAAAAUCAAGCUUUUGGGUAACAAUUUUAGAAAUUUCAUUUAACAUAAAUUAUAAUACAUAUUGUCAUAAUUUGAUGAUAUUGAAAAGAGAUUAUAAAACUCCCAAUAUAAUUAAGCACGUUUUUAUCUUGUUAAUUAGAAAUUAUUAAUUGAAAUUUAAUUAAUUUAAAAUUAAUUAAAUCAAAUUCUGAAAUUCAGGGAUGUCAAAACAAGUUUAACAGUUUUAUAUAGAAAUGAGAAUCUGCCGAAUCAACUAACAUAUAAAUUAUUAUUCUUAUAAUAUUUAUGAAAAAAAUAAAAAUGCCGAGAUUUAAAAUAUAAAAAAUUUUUGUAAGAGAAUGGAGUAUGUGAUGAUUGAAUUGAUGCAGCUGCAUAUACUAAAAAAUAGCCACGCUUAAUCCAGUUGAACAAAUUAUUACAAAAUGUCUGGAAUAAAACAAUUUGAGAUUCGUUUUAUUUGCAAAAUUUACUAAUUAUAGAACUUAUUUUAAAUAUAAAACUUCACCAAAUUAUACUUAAAUUGGGAUGUGGGAUUGUCUAUCUCCAAUUUUCAAUUGCACUACUUAUUCUUGAGCCCAUCAAAAAUUAAAAAAUAAUGAAAUCAAGUCAGCAAUUUUUUUCUAUUUUACAAUAAUUUGAAGCAUAAAAAAUUAAAAUUCAAAUCUUAAUAAUUAAUUGAUCAGGAAAAAAAAUUGGGGAAAUAGUAUUUAGAUCGAAAAGGCCUAUGGAGAGCAUUAUUGGAGCUGAAUUAAUGGCUGCUUUGCUAAAUAAAAAAAAUAAAGAAAUUGGAAAUUAAUUAAUUAUUAUAGUGAAAAAUAAAAGGAAGAAGCAGUCAGCAUGAGGGGGAACAGGUGGCACGUCGCAGGUGGCCAUUUGGAACCUAUGCCAUGCACGCAACAUGGGGAUUAUUUCGUCACUGAAUGCAUGGAUCUCCUUUUUUUAAUAUAUAUAUUUUGUAAUUUUAUAAUCUAUUAUUAUAAAUUUAUUAGAUCUUCCUCACCAACUUCCCCAGCAUUAAAGACCCACUUUCAAUUUGAACCACUUCUUUCUUUAGCCUGCUUCACUAUAUAUCAUCAACAUAUAUUUACUGUAAGUAUAUAGUCACGAAGCUGGAAAUUAAAAUUAGGAGGCUAAAAAAUUUGAAGAGAUAAGGGGAGUAAAAUUGAAAAAAUUUAUUAUUUUAAAAAGUACAAUAAAAAUUUUCAAUAUUUUAUGCGAUAAUUUAUUUUAAAAAAAUUAGUUAGGGAGUGGGGGCCACCUCUGGCCCCUCCCUUCGUCAAUGGCUGUAUAUAUAAUUUACAAUAAAUUUAAAAAUAAUAGUUAGCACAAACAAAGGUAUAUAUGCUUUUUCACUCAUAAAAAAAGAAAUUAUAGUCUUAUCGAUAGGAGUUGGUCUGAGUAAAAAAGACUCAAAGUCCUUAACGUAAGAAGUCAAGUAUUUGAUACUUGUAAAUAAAGAAAAAUCUUAUUCAAUACUUGUAAAUAAAGAAAAUCAUCGUUAAAAGUGAAAAAAUCCUACUCGAUAUUUAUAACUAAAGAAAAUUCUCUCUGAGAGCGUUUUCCCUAUAGGUCUGACACGAUGUAAGCUAACACAAUAGCAAUGGAGAAGGGAUUUUGCACUCUUGAUCCUAUAAAGACAACUACGUUACAUUAUUCUUUUUAAACAAACAUUACAUAUUUUUAAAAAUUUGUCACCAAAUUCAACUUACAGCUCACCUCAUGAUCAGGAAGGCUCUAGAGAUUUUGUAAUUUAAAUCCUUUUGCUUAUCUUGAGAGGGACGAAAUGCACUAUAUAUAUAUAUAUAUAUAUAUAUAUAUGCAUUCAAGUCUUUUUAUUUUAAAUAAUGACAAUAAUAAUGAAAGCAAUAACAAUAAAAUAAACUUCGAUCAAUGUUAAGCUUUAACAAUAGAAUUAAUACUCCUUGUAAUAGCAAGUUCUAUUCUAGUUAGGUGAAAUUUUGAGAUCAUAUUCUUUCCAAAUAAAGCUACUAUAAAAAUUUCUACAUGGAUUUAUUUAGGUAAAGAAGAAAUCUGUGGAGGAGGGAAUUAGGGAACUCUUGCAUGCCAAAAGAGCAUCUAGAUGUACUAAUUAUUUAUGUUUUUUUUUUUUAAAUUUAUUAAAAUUUUCAAUGAGUCAAGAUAACAUUGCAGACUACACUAUAAAUAAUAAUCCUCUCUUUAACUGUCAAAAGAAUUCAAAUUUAAGACUUUUCACUUCUCAUAGUAAUGAGAAGGAUCGACCAAUUCACAACUAAUUGGCUAUUAAUAAUUUAUAUUAAUAUAUAACAACAAAAUAGUUUAACAGAAUUAAUGCAAUCAAUAAGAAUGUGAAUUUCAUUUUUUUUUUUUUUUGAUUAACUAAAAUUUAAAAUUACUGGGAGCUGGCUGUAUCUCAAGUGGUAAACACUCAUAAACAGGAUAAAAUAUAUAUAUAUAUAUUAAUGGGAAAGCUAGAUGAUGUUUAGUUGAAGGUAAGUAGACCAAGGAAGUGUAAUUCUGCAUAUAAUUAAAGUGCUUGUAUUUAGUUCGUAUUAUCAAUUCUACCUCUUAUGAAGUAAAUCAUUUAACUUUCAUUAACCAAGUGAAGUAAGUUCCUUAGAGAUGUUUAGGGAAGUUGCACUUUUCUAACUUAGUGUAACGAAUUUAUCAAUUUAUUUAUUAUCUAAAUGCUCUUGAAGUUAUAUUAUGGUAUUUUGUAAUUUGAAAGCAAUUUAUUUUCUAAGAAAUUAAUUUACAUAUCAAACCACAUUCAAAAUAUAUUACCUAGAAAAUUAUUUCCUUAAAAGUGUAUUUUGUCGUGUAUUACCCUAAUCUCGAAUUGGGGCAUUCCUAAUAAUUCAAUUCUAAAAAUUGGAGUCUCUUUCCACACGUGUGCACAACUGAUUUUGCAUUCUAACCAGCCACAUUGCUCAUAGGCCACCUUUCUCUCUCCCUAUCCCCACCUCUACGUGUGUGUGUGUGUAUAUAUAUUAUCACAAUUAUGUGAAACCCUCUAUUAUUUAUGGUGCCUUAGGGUUUGAAAGUAUGCUGCAAUUUAAAAUCUAUACCCAAAUAAUGAAAAUAUAUAUUGGUAAAUUGUGAUAAUACAUCCUUGUAAAAUGAAAAUUUUGCAUCUUAUCUUCUCCAAAAUUCUUUGUAUUCUUUGAAAUUAAAUUAUAUUUUUACUUGAUCCAAAAACUUAGGGAAUAAAUACCAUUUAGUCCACCAAAAUUUGCCCUUAGUUACCACUUUGUAUCUCUUUUUGUAAUAUAUCGAUCUAUUUCCGAGAUUUUGCUCCGUUGAUUAGUUCUUACAUUUAAAAUGUAUAGUUUUUAUUUUUAGACACCCUGUGUUAUUUGAUUAUUUGGUCUUUUAUAUCUAAUAUAAUGAUGCUAUUUAGUCUUUCACAUUUAUUAUUUUCAUUUGAACUUAAUAAAAGAUGACAAUUUUUCAACGGAAUGAUUAAAUAGUUUAACAAAAGAAAAUAUUAGGGCGAAUAAAUAUAUUUACCAAAAAAGGAGGGACAAAAUAAUAAAGAGGAUAAAUUCUUAGAACUAAACGGUAUGAAUCCUUUUAUAGGAACUACUUGUAAUUAUUAUAAUUUGAGUUAAUUAUUUUAAAUAUUUCUAAUAACAUAAAAAAUAAUGGAUUAACUCUAAAAAUUGUUUUCCUUAGAAAGCAUUUGAAAAGAAAUUUUUUUUUUAAAAGAAAAAAAAUUACCUAGGCCGACAAAAAUUGACGAUAAAUAACUUUCAAACAAGCUAUAUACUGUGCGUGAAAAUUCCAAAACAUUGAAAUUAGUUCUAAAAAAAAUAAUAAUAAAAAAAAAUAAGUUUGAGCAAGAGUGUAUGAUUAAAAAAAAAUGUAGUUGUCAAAAUACUUGGUCCAAUGAUCAGAAAAUAAAACUUACUCAAUUCGAAAAGGACAUGAAAGGAGGUGAUGAUCCAUUAAUUUGACCAUUGAGGGAGAGAGAUGGUUAGAGGAGAAGUUGGUAUAGCAAACACUGAAUUUCCUUCUUCUCUUUUAACCCCUCACAAUGCAUUUAUUGGUCUCAUCGACACUGUCUUCUUCUUCCUUGUCUUCUUUCUGUUUAUGUAUUUCAUACCGGCAGAGAGAGAAAUUUCAUCUGAUAUUUUCCAGAAGGAUAGGAAAACGAAAAAUACAUCAUAUUAUAACAUUGAAAAGAAACUUUUAAUGCAAAAGGUGAAGGAAUAUGCAAAAACAAACAAUCUUAAUGCGGUUAGUUAAAAAGAAAUUUUCCAUUUUUAGAGAAAAGCUAAAGACAGUUUCAUAUACAAUCUACAUGUUUCUCCUCGCAUUGAAGCAAAGGUAUUUUUGUUUAUUGCCAAAAAUUUUUAAGAGAGAAAGUUGUCGGGAUUUAAAUCUAAUCAGUUUCAUGGACUAUAAAACAACUACUCUAUCUUUGGGUUAUUAGUCUAAUCUAAUCAGUUUUAGCUAUUUAAUUAAAAAAUCCCAUUAAGUUCUUUUAUUUCCUUAGGAAAGAUUAUACCCUUUUUUUUUUUUUUCCUCGAUCUCCUGUAAGUAUUUUCAUACUUUUUUUUUUGAGUACGAGACCUUUCUCGUUCCGAAAUUUGUUGCAGUCCCUUUCUAAAUGUGUUUUUUCUAAGAAUUAAAUUCCUAUUAUUCGAAGAACAUAAAUGUGUAUUAUCACUUCAGUCCGACUAAGUAUAAUUAAAAUUAUGAGAUUAUAAAGAAAUCAAAGAGAAAAUUGAUUAUAUAUAGGAUUGCAAUUGAAUAUAUUUACUAAUACGAAGAAAAUGAAGUUUUACGAAAGGUUAAUGUUGUAUAUAGAAUAAAAAUCCAGGGUGAGGUCCAUCACAAUGAUAUAAUUAAAAGAAAAAUGUCAUUAUCUAACUUCAUAAGCUAGCUUAAUUAUUCAAACCUAAACUCAUAACAAAGCAUCACAUCAAUGUGUAGAGUCAAAUUAAAGUGAGAAUCCCAUUAGCGUUAAUUUUUUAUCUUCACUUACCUCAUUUAGCUGUCGGCACAAGUUUUUCACGGAAAACAAACCAAACAAAAUUCUCAAACCUUGUAAUUUAUAGAAAGUGAAAAAGAAAACCCUAAUGUCACCUUCUUCACGAAAACUAGGUGAAGGUUUUCACAUUGCUUCUUCAACUAGGGUUCCUUGUCGGAUGGACCACCAAAUGAAGCAGGUUAAUUAAUAAUUAUAAUUAUUAUUAUUAAUUAUAUAAUUAAAGAAUCGAGAGGGCCAAAUGGCGUCACCUAAUUAAAAAUUAUUAGAAAAGAUCAUAGCUGUAGUGUCAGCUAAACAACUAAAUUGCUUGCUCUGUUAAGUUUCUACCCAAUACAUCUAAACUCGGACUUUCUUUGCUUCUUUAUGCCACGUAUAUGGUUCUUGGUCUUUCUAUUCCCAUGCAAAAUGAAAAUUAAUAAACCUUAAUUUCAAUUAAUUAAUAUUAAUAUUUUACUUAUGUGUUUGAUUUGACUUGUAAGUUAAGAAAAAGGAAUACGUAAAAUAAAUCAAAAGUUUUUAUAAGUUUUUGAAAAUGUUUACACUAAGUACACUUAUUUUAAUCAAUUUCUUAACUUUUUUUUUUUUUUUGUCAUUUUAACAAAUUAAGUUACAAGAAAAUACGUAUUAACCAAAUAUUUAAACUAUUUAAUCCUAAUCCAAUGAAUUGGAGAUACCAAAAAAAAUAUAUUUUCAAUAAUUUUAUAUAUAAAUGCGCAUCAAUCACCAUAUAUUAAAACGGCAUAUAUAAUGUUAAAAUAAAAAUAAAAAUAAAUAUUAUAAUGUAUUGUUGUAGGUCUUUUUGUACGUUAGAACCUAGAUAAUUAAAAUAUAUAAUUAAGCUAAGAUUAGCUUGGAGUAGUACUGAGGUUGUUCCUAAUAUUAGUGACACUGACAGUUACUCUAAACAUCGUUAAGCACUUGAUUAAAGAAACACAAAAAUUAAAGCAGAAAACGAGAUCAAUUAAAACCAUUGACAUAUAAUAUAAAUUAGUAUUACGCCCAUUACACGUGAAUCGUAUUUGAAAGCAUAAUACAUAGAUUAAACACCAAAUUAAUUCACUAUUUUCAACUGUUAAUUGCCCAAAAAACCCUAAUUUAAAUCAAAAUUAUUUUUUAAAAAUAUUUCAUGUGGGGUACGCAAAGUCCAUGCUAGUUUCGUCAUAUCUUUACCAUUUCAAUGAUAAUUACGUGUCCAAAGGUUCAUUGUUUCUCUUGUAGUUCUUUGAACUUAAUGGUCUAAUCACUUGAUUAGCAAGAAACUUAUUUAAUUUACUAGUAAUUAAUUACUAUCUUAAAUUAUUUAAUUUAUAAUCAAAUCUUCUCAUUUACACCUCGUUUACAUUAGCAUCAUGUGGGUGAUAUGGGAUCAAGUUUUCUCAACUGUUAUAACCAACAUUAUAGGUAAGGAAUUUGCAUAUAUAAUUUUUUUUUUUUUUUUUGUAAGAUUGAUAUUAUCAUGAGAACAUUUUUUUUAUAUAUAAUAUUAAGUUAUAUGUGAUUAGAAUUUUAUUUUUUGAAAAAAAAAAAUUAACGGAUCAGCUUUCUUGCAUUGUAUUAUAAUUGAGUCCAUAUUUGUAAUCUAGUUAAAAACAAGUCAUUCGCCCUUAGAAAAUUUGCAAAGGAGAAAAAUAUAUCCGAGAGAAAAAUUAAAUUUUGGUCAAUAAAAUGGAAAGCAAACCUAAUUAUCAACUGACCAAGCUUACAACUUUAUGUAAUAAUUAGUAUUUUAAUGAAACAAUUGUAACUCUGUUAUAUUAAUUAAUUGUUUUGGGCAUCAAAAUUAAUAUGUCUUAUUUGUUGGCUAAAGUUCAGUAGGCAAAAUGACAUCAUAGUUUACAGCUAAAGAUAGUGAAAGAAAAUGAGACUGACAGUUGAUAUAUAUAUAUAUAUAUAUNNNNNNNNNNNNNNNNNNNNNNNNNNNNNNNNNNNNNNNNNNNNNNNNNNNNNNNNNNNNNNNNNNNNNNNNNNNNNNNNNNNNNNNNNNNNNNNNNNNNNNNNNNNNNNNNNNNNNNNNNNNNNNNNNNNNNNNNNNNNNNNNNNNNNNNNNNNNNNNNNNNNNNNNNNNNNNNNNNNNNNNNNNNNNNNNNNNNNNNNNNNNNNNNNNNNNNNNNNNNNNNNNNAAAUUAAUUAAGUUAUAUAUAUAUAUAUAUAUAUAUAUGUAGUUGUAUUUUGAGGAUGACCCUAGUAUAAUAGUAAAAUUAAGAUUAUGAGUUAAUUUUGCGAAGACUUAUUUUAUUUUCAAAGUUAUAAAAUUUUGGUAAUAUUGCAUAUUUAUAUAUACUGGCAAUAAUAGUGUACAAGAUUUUUGUUUUUUUUAUAUAUAUAUAUAAAAUAUAUUAAUCAUAUCUAAUUAUUAGUUAAUACAACUUUUGAAAUAAUAACUUUCAAAUAUUUCAAUUAUCUAAUAAGUGUUUAAUUAAUGCAAUAUUACAAUUUAGAACAUUUAAAAGAAUGGUUUUGCAACUUCAAGAGUUUGAUGGAUAUAAUUUUAUUAAUUAAAGUGUUUAAUUGGUUAAAGAUAUCAUAAGAUUUUUCACGAAAAGUACAUAAGCAAUUAUAUACAUUUAGUCUAUGAUUAGGGUUGUAAAUGAAUCAAGCCGAACCGAACUCUGAAUUGUUCAGGCUUGGUCCGAGAAAUUUUUAUAUUAAACAUCGGCUUGUUUGAAAAAUUUGACUAUGAUUAAUUUUGACCUAAAUUUUGUAAUUAUUUGAUUUUUCUUUAAUUUUUCAGAGUUAAAACCCAAUUCGCAGACUCACUCAUUAAUUGGCUAGAAAAUAAAGAGCAAUUAGGAUUUAAUUGAUGGGAAUUUACAAAGCAAAAAUUGCAGAGUUGAGAAGGAAAUUGGUGAUGAAGCCAAAUUAAAAUGGUGAAUGAGGUUCUAAAUCCCACACUAAAUUCUAAAUUGCAAGUCAAAGUCAUCACCAAAAUAAUACUUACUAUAUAAUCAUAACCAUAAUUGAGUAAAGACUCAUAAUAAAUAUUAUUAUUCCUUCUACCAAAGCAUGCUCAAUCCAUUAAUUUAUAUAUAUACAUAGAGAGAGAGUUCAUAGUAUUUUAUUCAUCCAGAUUGUCUACAUAUAAAACUCUCUUAUGAUUCUUCUUUUCUUUUCUCCAAAUAAUUUCUCUUUAAAAAUUUCAUUUUUGAAAAAUUUAUUGUUCAAUACGAGAAAAAUGUAUAAAAAAUGAUAAAUAUAACAAUUACAGGUUAUUGACAGUGGUGGCUACCGGUAAUAAUUAAUAGAUUAAUAAAUGUAUUUACAAGCUUAUAAUAAAUUUAUUAAUGUCUGCAAAAAAAAUUUUCACUUUUGAAAUAAGAAGUUACUUUUCCUUGGAAAUAGCUUGAUUUUUCUUUAACCAAGACAAUAUUUUGCAUUGCUAAUUUUAAUAAAAGACAAUUAGAUUAGAAUAAAUUAAAGGUUGACUGACACACCAUCCUGAACCAAACCCAUUUCAGAAACUAUGAAAAAGACUCUCAUGGGCUUAAAAACUUGAUGGUAUCUAAUCCAUCCAUAACCAAGUUCAAUUAAGACAGGCCCUUUUUCUUUCUUAACGCAUAAUAACUGGUCUAACCCCUCUUCUUAAUCCUACGCAGUCAGUUAAGAAAAGGCCCUCUGUUACCUUCCCUCAAUGUCAAUGCAGAAGAUCAAACGACAAUCCAACUCAAGCCUAGAUUCAAAACGACACCUGAUCAACAUCUAGUUUUAUUUCAGUAAUAAUUGUUCAGUUCUAGGAUUCUCACGAGUUCCUAAUUUAAUCACUAGAUUAUUUUUAGUUGCAGAUAUUCCCUUUUUAACCAGUUUUCGAGUUCCUAAAAGUGGGAUUCCCCAUGUACCAAAGAAAUAUAAAAAUAGAGAGAACAUAUAUUACCUUCACUCUGUUGCAGAGAAAAAACAUACCUUGGCUUUGGAGAGGAAGCUUAUCCAGAGGUGACUGGCCAAGGAUCAUGACAGCAAAUAUUGGUAGCUUAACACCUGAAUAGCAAAACUUUAAGACAGGAACCAAAUUAAAAUUUCAGUAAAUGGUUCAGCCAAGAGCUACUUUACAUCUCUCUCUCUCAAGUUCCAAAGGCACAACUAGGGGCGAGCAAAGUUUGGUUAAAACCAAAAUACCUGUCCAGUUCGGUUUUUUGGAUAUUUAGUACGGUUUCAGUUUGAAAUGUUAAAUAAUUUUGGUUUUGGUUUUUGGUUCGGUUAAACAACAUAUGUAAUUUUCGCCCAAAACCAUUAACCGAACCAAUGAGUUUGUUCGGUUCCAAACAAUUUUCUGGUUUGAGAAAAAAGGAAAGUGCAGUUUUUACGGAUCGAUUCAGUUCGGAACCGAACUGCCCCUUUGGAUACCCCUAGGCAAAAAGAUAGAAGCUAAAACAUUCAGUAUGCACCAGAAACAUAGAUCUAAUCGCAACCAUGUAAAAAAAGCUAUCAUGUUCAUCGACAUGGUAUCAUAAUAAACAUCACCAGGGAAAAAAUGUAGAACCACCAUUCAUACAAGAAAUAAACGUGGAAAAGAAAGUGAGAAAAUUGUACAUCACUAUAAAAAUAUUACACAUUGAAUGAUUUACACCAGUAAAAUGAUAGCAAACCAUACCUUAGCAGGCUACCAAUUGUCUUAGUCUCUGCAGUCUGCACCACUCAAAUAUGUAGAAGAUUAAUUUUACACAUACAAACUUGCAAUUGUCUUGCUCUUCAUACGACUCAAUCUAGGCUCCUGAUACAGCUCGAUACCACAAAAGAAUUGAGGCAAAUAUUAUCAAUAGACACUUUAAACAUACUUUAUUACCAUCAUAUAUAUUUUCCAAAAGAAAAAUUUUGGAGAGGAAGAGGCCAAGAAAGGUAAAAGUAAAAUCUGUCUUCUGAACGUUUUAGUUGUGGAAUCUGGAGCAUGAGAAAUGAGAAUCAGUCAAAAGUUCAAAUAAUGAUGUAGGUAAACAAGUCACAUGGUCAGAGUUGCAGAUGGAAAGAAUUGUAUCAUCAAGAACAGUGCUAUAAGAUCAAGUCAAAGCUUGAAAAAGACGUUGUGUGCAAAACUGUGGCUCAGAUAAUGAGAGUUGGCGAGUAUGGAUUAGAAAACAUUGUACAACAAGCUAAGCUAGCAUUUGAGGACACAACUGCAUACUUUUGUGCUCUGAGCUUUCAUGCUUUCAUACUAAAUAUUCAACUUCACAUCCAAAACUUCUUUCUGAAUUAAAUAUAAAACUUGAUUUCCUGGAAAUGUGAGGAUGAAACUAUAAGAUAUUCACUAAUGAAAAAUUGAGGGUCCCUGGUACACCCACUUUUAGUUACUUGUGGAGUCUGAUGAGUGUAAGACCCGCAGUAUGAAAAAGAUUACUUCAAUGUGAAUAUGUCAUGAUCCGAUGAAUACAUUUGGAAAAUAAGUAUAAAAAAUAUUAGACUUUUAAAAGAAGAGUUCAAAAGAAACAUACAAUAAUGCCAUCUCCAUAAUCAGACACUGAAAUGCAGUUAUCCUUAGGCUGGCAAGUUGAAAAUCUGUUCAAGAUUCCAUUACUUGACUUUUAAAUAAAGAAAAAAAUAUAUAUAAGACUUUGUGUUAGUGAGAGUUGCUGAAAUUGUCCCUACUCCAAAGCCAACUUUUGACCAUAUUGAAAGAGCAAUCACUAAACUCUUGACAAAAUCCAAAUGAUGCAAUUUCAUCUCUAUAUAAUAGUACCACUAAGUUGAAACCAUCAAAAUAAUCUUUUACUUCAUAUUUGCAUAUAAGCAAAUUAAUAAGGAAGGCACCUGUCUUUCUGACAAGCGAUUUUUAAAUUGGUAUUUUUAUGGUCAAACUGUAAAGAUUCCAUCUAUGAGACCAAUGCCAUCAAUAAAGUCAGAGUGGGUAUCAUCAAUUGGCCAAUUGGUCUGAACUACUACUAAUAUGAUUACCCAUUAAGAUUCCACAUCUCAUACACUUAAUAACAUCGACAAGCUAGCCAGCACCAGAACAGUAAUAGAUCAAGCAGUUGAGGCACCUAUGCCCAAGAACAGUCCAAUACUCAUGUUCAAAACAAAUCUUGCCAGAGUUUGCAGUAUACUCAGAGAAAAAUUUCCCUAAAAAGAAAAGAACUUUUCAAUCAUCUCCUAACCCUAGUGAACAGGUUCUUCACGUUUCCCAAAACAUACAGAACAGGAUAAACAGUUCCUGAAAACCAAAUGGAGGUUCAAUUGCCUGCUAAUGAUAUUGCACAAUCAGGGAACAACCACUUCACAUUAUCAAACAUACGAAUUGAACCAUGCAUUCCAUGAAAUAAUCACAAAUUGAGUUUUUUACAUGAGAUUUUGAGCAAAAGAACGAAGUACUUAAUUUGUAUUUCAGAAUUGUUUAAAACAUCCAAACAAGGUUCCUUCCCCAGAAUCCGCAGCAGUUGAUAGAACUGAAUAAAUCUUAGUGUUUGGAGAAACAAGUGAAUGAAAAUAAUAUUCACGACUAAGGUCAACUUAUUCAUUGCAUAGCAAGAUGGUAAUAACCAUUUGUCCCCCCAAGUUGUUAUCUGCAAAGUCCAAAAGCUGUAAUAGAACCAAGAGACCGGCUUUGCAAUUGGCAUGGUGCUAGAGCACUAGGUUCAAAGCCCAUCCUCCUGUCAACCAACAAACAUGAUCAUCAAACGUUCAUAUAUGCCAUGUGAAAGCAUAUCAUCAAUAGUACGUGCCCACAUAAAGGUCGGACCAAAUAAAUCAAUAAGAAAUAGUACGAAUCAUAGCCAGAACAGCAAACACAUGCACACAUGUCCAUGUGCAAGGGUCAGUGAAAGAAAGAAUGUCUAAUAUGUAUUGCUAAUAACUUUUUGGUGACUGAAUUGGACUAUAAAUGUCGAAGUAUUGAUCAUUAAAAGUAAAAUUUGAAUUUGCAACUGCAACUGCAACGGAAAUAACAUUACUUGAUAUGAUAAUACCUUGUGACAACUAUAAAAGGCUACAAAAACCUUGAUUUGAAUGCAAAGGAGACCAGUACCCAUGCAACUAAUUGCCAAAUAUAGUACAGUUCCAUGCAAAUUUCUGCAAACUAGAGAUCUCUACAUGUGAAUUAUUGAGUUAAAUAAUAAUGCAACUUUAAUAAAAUGAUUGCAAAAUCCUGAUUGGUAUUCUAACAGUAACAACAAACUCUAUGACUUCAGGAGUCAUAAUAUCUGUUAACAAACAAUAAGGGAGUCAUAAUAUCUGUUAACAAACAAUAAGGCAGCCCAAAAGGACCCAAAAAAAAAAAAAAAAAAAAAAAAAAAAAAAAAAAAAAAAAAGAAAAAAAGAAAAAAUCAAUUUAGCAUUGCUUAACUCUCCAUGCUCCUUUUGGGGUUUUUGGGGGCGGGGGUGGUUAUUGCCAGAAGCAAGUUUGCCAGCAUGUUCCAGAAGCAAGUUUGCCAGCAUGUUCAGUUCAUCGUUCAAUUGAACUCCUAUUUGAUUGCGUUCCAUAAUGUUCAAUAACAUUCUACCAAAUAUGUACUAAAUUUAAAGGUCAAACCAAGCAUCCUUUCUAAGUAAUUACCUUCCACGUCCUGGUCCCUUGCUCUUGCGAUGAGGUGAAACUUUCUGUUAAUAUGGAAUGUAAUAAUUGCUUGCUUACUGCAGUGGUUUGUCAAUACACAUAACCUUCAACUCAAGCAAUAAGGAAAGCGGCCACUCCUUGCUAUACUAAACAGAUCAAUCUUCAUCCAUUAGCUUAAGCUAAUAGUGAUAUAACUUGUAAAAACACCCACAGACAGAGAAGCGAAAAAACAUCAUAACCUGAUCUCUGAAUCCCAAACAUCCAAUCUAUCUGACUUUAUUGGUAAAAUCAGAAGGGAAACACCAAUUUCUUUUCUUUUCUUUUUUGUUUUAUAGAAUAGUUAAGAAAUCUCAAGUUGCUGUUAUUACUUGUUACAAUGUUCUAAGCAAUGAUGAAAAAGAUGAUAGAGAUGUAAGUUAGUCCAGACUCUGAUAUAGGUUUAUAGGUGCUCUCAAGGCUCUAUUUGCAAACCUUCAUGGCUGUUACUGCCACCACAUUGAAUAUGGCUGCUACAGCCGUUAUGCAGGCCGAUUGCCUUCACAUCAGAUCAUUGUUACGAAUCAUGUUAGUUGCUUCAUUCUCUUGGCUAACCCAGGAACAAGUUUAUCUCAUGGGUCACCUCAAGCUCCAUUGGUGCACCCUUAUGACUACUGCAACAACUAAAUUUUGCUCUGUUUCUUUUGCUUUGUGGUAGUUUGGGACAUUGGGUCAUUAUGGUUAUGCUGUUCUCUGGCCCUUUAUACGCGUCCUGGCACAUCCUCCAUCACUCCUCCACUAAGGAGCCUCACCAAUCCGAUAGUUAAUCCGCAAAGCAUUCUGGUUUAUCCCUCAUUAGUCCUCCCCUCUGGAAGUUUAAUUAAUUUAAUUUGCAAUGCAUCCUGAUAUAUAUUUCAUUACUCCUCCCGGCAGGGAGUUUCAUUAAUACAAUAGCCAGGUUGUAGUUGAGUUUGCAAUUAGCAUACAAAGCACAACCAAACCUUAGGCCUUUCGGCUUCAUGUUUCUUUUACAAUAGUCAUGAAAUCUCGAGCCACUGCUAUUUCUAUGUUCUUACAUAGGCUUAAUGAUGAUGAAAACGAUGAUAAUAGAGAUAUAAGUUAAUCCAGAAUUGAAAAAGUUAACAAGAGAAUCAUCAAACUCAAUAAAGUUUUCACGAAAAUAAAAGUAUGGUCACUUAGGUUUGCCAGUCUAACACAUUGCUGAACUUGAUAAAAUAAGGUCAAUCAUAUGACUGAUAUUUGAUUCACAACAAUCUAUAUGGAAGAAACAGCUCCAUUACCUUCCAACUGCAUUAUUAAUUUCAUCAUUCUGCAGUUUAAUAUCACAGUGACCACAAAGUUAACAUUUCAAAUUACAAUAUUUUCAAAGGGAUAACAAUUCCAACCUGAAUGGCUAAAUACUACUGUUACCAGACCUAGCCUGAACUCUCAAAUUUUUUCAGGCAGCUCAUUAUCCAACUAGAAGAGUUUGUUUUUCCAAUUUCAGGUUUGUUUUCAGUAAAAAAAAUUAAGCAACCGCAGAAGUUAUUUUCAGAAAUUUCAGAUGCACACAGAUUCUAACAAGCUUCUUUUCAUAUCAUUCACGGUAUGACUCUUUUAUACAAACUACUCCAAAAGUUGUGACUUUAAGGUAAAUUACACAUAAAUGCAGCUGUACACGCAGUCACUGAAAGGAAUCAGGCCUCCACCAGUAAAAUAUAAGCUAUCAGUAUCUUUUUAGGCACAUUGGAAUGAAGAGAAUUUACAGCUACCUAGGAUUGUGUGAGGAUAAGGUAUUCAAAGACCGUCAUCAGACACUGCUAGCCAUUUUUCAUCAUUCGACCAACAUGUGUAGGUUCAAAAUUAUCACACAUGCAUAAUUACAUAAACCAAAUAUGAAGAGCAAAAUGAGAGAGAAGAACCAAUAUGUGAAAACAAAAUUUCAUAAAAGGAAUUAGUUCAUUACAUCUGCUAAAAAACAGGAUAUUACAUGCAUGGAAGUAACAAAAAGCACACUAGCUAAUAAAAUUGCACUUGCCUAUCAUCUCCAAAUCCAAUAACACAGUAAUUGAAACAAAUCCAGUAUACAAAAGAUCACUAACACUAAAAAAAUUGCAAAAACAAAAAGGUUACCUGAACUCAAUUUGGCAUAUCAGAACAUCAAUUUCACCAUCCCACAACCCUAACUCCUUCCAUUUUCACUCCCAUCCUUGAUCUCAACACCCUCGAGUCUCUCACUCACCUCCAAAACAGACCAAUUAGGAGACUGCACAGCUCUCAACCAUUUAAAGUCAUCUACAUUGCUCCAGUUCCCAGUCUCCUCCUCCAAACCUGCUUCCUUCAAAUCUUCCUCAAUUCCUUCAUAACUCAAACAGUAAGGCGCAAAUCUAACACCUCCACAAUCUUCAAUUAUCGGCCUGCUCCUCACUCUCAGAUAAAAAUCACUUUCUCUCGCGUAAUGUAUCCUUAUCUGAUGGGAAGCCAAAACAAAAAUACUGUUUUCAACUUCCUCAAUCAAAAUUGAACCUAUAACUGGCCCUGCAUAAACCUUACAAUUCCUUAAGCGAUUAACAAAAAGCGCACCAAUGCAACCAAUUAACCUAACUUCACAUGAAUCCAAAUCCGAUAUCGUAAAUUCACCAAUCUCCGAUCCUCUAAAAUUCUUUGUUAAUAUUUCAUUCACUUUGUUCCUAAUUCCUGGUGAAUCCUUAAUUGUGAAAAUCGGUUUCGGUGUUUCGGGUUUGGCGAUUUCGUUUUCUUUAGGUUCAGAGAUUGGGGUUUUGCUUGUAGAUUUGUUUUUGAAAGAAAAUUUCUUUUUCGGGACAAGCUCAGAGUGGAGAUUUUCGAGAGAUAGUUUAAGUUCCGCGACGGUUUUGAGAGAGGAGCGAAGUUCAUAGGAAGGGAGAAAGUAGGAAUUCUCGGCGACGAGUUGUUCGAGGGAGGAGAUGGAGUUGGAGAUAUUGACGAGGUGAGAUUUUAGGCGAGUUGGAUCGGUGCUGGCGAGUUUUGAUGACUCAGCGAGUUGGAAUUCAAUUGAGCGUUUGAAGUCGGAGAAUUUGGAGAGGAAGGAAGCGGUAGAGUCGGUGGUUGAGGAGGAGGAUUUGCUGCGCGUUUGAUGGCGGAUAGAGAGGCGAUCGAGCAUUGCUUGGUGCUUUUUUUGUAGGGUUGGGUCUAAGGCUUUGGUUGAGUUUGAGAUAUCUGUUGCUACCGGUGUUGGUGGAGCUGUCGUCGUUUCUUCUUCCAUGGCUGUUUGCGCGGCCGGAGCAAUCACCAGUUGGGCGGGAGUAAUAUGAUAGAAAAUAAAAAUAUGAUUUUGUUUUUUUUUUUUUUUUCUUAUUGAACUGAGGGAAACUGGUAAUCUGAUCGGGCUAAAAAAAAAAAAAAAAAAAGGCAUGAUGUACAAAUGGUACGCCAGCGUUUUGUUCUUUUUGCUUGAAUUUUAAUUUUAAUUUUCCCAUAAUUUUUUUAAACAAUUCUAAUUUUUCCAUGAGUCUCUCUUCUCAAGUCGAAAAUUAAAAUUUUGUAUAAAAAUCCAUGAAACAUAAGUAUGGUGUAUUUACAUUUCAUAUAAAUCAAGCAGUUAAAUUUGUACCGACAGACUGUUAGAUCAACACUAAAAUGAGCAAAGUUAAAAGUUUUACCUGAUAUUACCCUAACUCUUGUCUAAGGAUAUAAAUACUGGGAAAGAGAGAGUAUAUACAAACCAAACAUUUAGAUUUGUAAUUCAAUUUCUCCUAAAUAAAUAUAAAUCCAUGACAUUUGUUACAAACACAUGAAAACAAGUUGGGCUGGUCGCAAUCUGAAUUGUUACUUGGAGAAAUUUCAGCUUUAGAGUUGAGCUUUUCAUGAGUAAUGAGGUAUAUUGAGCAGUGUCAGUUUUUUGAGUCCAAAUUAAAUUCAAGCUGUGGUGUGUGUAUAUAUAUAUAUAUAAGAUCCUAAAAAGGGAAAGUGGGGAAACUUGAGAACCAAAAACCAGACAUGAAAUUAUACAAAAAUGGUCUAACAUAAAAAGCUGAAAGUUAAGCAAAGAAAUGAGCAGUCCGUAUCAUGGAACUACAAAAUGCAAACAUUUACUUAUGCAGAUUUCUCAGCUUCUGCAGCUGCCUCUUCCUCUUGCAACUUCUUCAAAGAUGGAGGUGGUCUCACUACAAUGCUUUUCUUCCAUUGUCGGUCUAACUUUCUUGACAACCUCUUGUUGAUCCCCUCCUCAAGCUCUCUUUCCCGUUUAACAGUAAGCAUGCGAGCAAUCUGUUAUUAACAAAAACUCUCAUUAACAUGAUACUAAAACCACGGGUCUUUAGGAUAUGCAUCUAUAAAACCUUUGUACUAAAAAGGCUCACAUGUGAGUAUCAUCUAAUAAUAAACCAAGUGAUGAAUUGUUAGCAGAGCACAGAAUCGACAAACUGGAAAAAUGGGACAGCAGGCACAUGGAAAAAAGUAGCAAGCAGCUUACUAGUUAUUUCACUAGGUCAAUGAGCAAUGAUGGCAAGUUAGCAACUAAAACGUUAUUAUGGCUGCUAGCCUACUACUUCGAAAGUAAUCCUAAGUCCCAGCAAGUCAAUAGUCGUUUGCAAGGACAUAAUGAUGCAUACAAUCAAAUGCCUCUGCAUUUUGAAGGCAUAUAGUCAUAUCUAUAGCACAUUAGGAUGCUGAACUUGCAUCACUUUGGAUAUGCUCUUGGAUUUAUACUCAGAAGCAUCAUUGUUCAGUUUUAUGGUCCUGUCACUACUUCCACUCCCCUCAUUCACCUGAACCUCAUUCCAACCAUUUUUAGUCAACUGGUCAACACAUCAAUCCUAUUGUUUGCCAUUUUGCAUUUCAAAGGAAAAUCAUUUAUUAGAAGCCAUCAAGCGAUUUCCAUCCCUACCUUGUGUACAGUCAGCAGCCUUAACCAAAACCAAAAUCUCAUCAACCUUAACCCCAAGUGUCCAUUAGGCAUUCAAAGAAUCACACUCAAUAUCACAUUAGGAGGCUAUAUAAAAUAGCUUUACAUGUGUUAUAAGAUGUAAUGAACUUCCAUAAAGUACUCACUGCUCCUGAUUGGGUAUUGGAUAAAAUAUACAGCUCCAUCACUCUGCCAUUGUCACAUCAGUUCAAAGUAUCUUAUCAGAUGAUAACCAUAACAUACUAACAUUUAGUUUAAGCCAUGUUAUAUGACUUCAGCUAAGUCACCUCACAACAGCAACUGUUUUUGGUACGUACCUAUAAGUAGCACUUGUCAACAUAUGUGAGAUUAUUCAUUACAGGUUAAACAACGUUAUUCACAUCCAUGUAAAAGUGUUGGACACAAUUACUUAAUCGUAAAGGCCGGCAAUGGGCAUGAAACCAACAUUGCACCAUAGAAUAGACUCAUCUCCACACUCUAGAUAAUGUAAUUAAUCACUGAGGUGUGAAGAAAAUAAGAAGUGAAGAAGUUCUCCAUAUAUUCAAAUAGCAAUUUAACAACAUAGAUGCUGGCAGUCUUCUAGGCUCCAACCAAGUUAAAGAUAUGCUAUCAAACACAGCACCCUAAAAGAUUUGAAAUCUUUGUUUGAAGCCUGAAGUUGACUGAAAUUAAAAGCCAAAGAAAAUCCACAAAUUUUAAAUCUCAAUCGUUAUCAAAAAGAUGCCUAUUUCAAGAAAAAAAUAAUGAUAUGAACAUACUUAAUAUACAUAUAUAAAAAGAGCACACUUAGAAAGCCAUGAUCUUAGGCCCUCCUUAUUGUCAAUACUAUGACACAUACAAUUAGCAUAGGGUUUGCAGGCAGGUAGAUAGAGUUAGCAAUGUGAUACAAGAGUGUGAGAGAGAAUGAAGAUGCUUCACCAAAAGUGGAUCUAUGCUUUUGUAUUAGCGAGGCAACUGCCCCCAUUCAAAAUUUGAAAAAUGACAAAUGUUCCAUAUAAAUUCAAAGUAGCUUGAAAUCCUCUUUAGUUUGUCCCCACUGAACUUUUACCAUUUUUUGGGGUCAAUAUGUUUCUUUUUCUUUUUUCUUAAAUGAUCAAUGUACGACUAUUUCAAUUUUGCUGAUAUUACACCUCACAUUUUAUGCAUCUCUCCAAGGUUUAAACAUUAUUAAUAUGUGGAGAGGUUAAUAUGAAUGAAAAAACUCAAAUAUAAAAUAUUAUGUUCCACGUUUUCAUGGUUCCAAGUUAAUAUCUAUCAGAAUUCCUCUCUAAUCACCACGCACAGUUAAAAAAAACAAUAAAAUUAUAACAGAAGCAAAAGCUAUCCAAUUACACAAUUCUCAUCAUUGGUUAUUCCAACCAUAAAUGUAAUCCACUUAUUUUGACAAUGACUGCUAGACAACUAACCCUAUAGAAACUCCAUUGAAUCAAAAGCCAAAAAAACAUCUCCCACCUACAUUAUCAAUCUCACAAAUAAAUUGCAACAAACGCUCACAGUAAUAUCAUUUAGUGAAAACUAUUUCAAGCAUAGCACUGUAACUACAGCUUUAAGGAAAAGCCAUAAUUCCUCCCUCAAAAACGGAGAUAAUUCGAGCAAAUCCUGAACCAAAAUUUCUAAUGUAAUGAAUUUUAACUAAUAAUAACAAAAAACAUAUGGGAAAGAUACCCUUUUGCGCAUUCGGCGAAAUUCGCUGGACUUGAACUCGUUGCGGGCCGAUUUCUGAAGCCGAAGCAUAAAGAGCUCGCCUUUAAGAUCAAUUACCUCUUCAUUUAUUUGCUCAGUACUCAGGCCUCUGAUUUCCUUCAGUUCUUCUUCUCUCUUCGCCAUCAUUACUACUGCGUAUCCAGAAAACGACCGUGUCCUUUGAGCAGGUACUCGAAUUGGAAGAGGACAUGUGUGGCGGAUUGGAAUGCCGGAAAAGCUUGAUUUGGGGAUUGCAGAUAACGGCUUUGGGAGAAAAGUUGCGCUGGAGAAACUCAACAUUUCUGCUUUCUAGUGAGCAGGCGCUCUAUAGAAUUCUAGCGAAGUAGAUAAGGCAACUACUAGCUGACUCUGUACUCGCUCUCCCUGAGCCAAUUUUUCUUUGUCUGCAAAUUUUCACUUUUGGCAUAGAAAAUUUGAAAAAUUCAAUAUUGACCCCUUAUUUUUACAGGGAUACGAACAAAAGCUACCACCCGCGCGUAAUUGCUUUGGGUAUUAGGUUUUCAAAAAAAUUAUAUACUAACCCGGAUAAAAAUAUUUCUAAAUUCGCCAUAGGUUAAAAAAUUUCUUCUUGAAGCUUAAGGUUUCUUUGUUAAAAAUUUUGGGUCAUAUAUUAAUGCAUAAACCUAAUUAUAUAUUUUUCCUUUACUGAAAUAUAUUUUAUAAAUAUAUAAUUAAAACUUAUACAGUGGUAUGAAUUUGAUUUGAAAUUGUCUACGGAAACUUACGAGUGCACGGAUCAUUAAAAUAAUACAAAGUUAGUAAAGUGUUGUUCAUACUAGGAUUAGCUUUGAGUAUUUAACUAUUGUGAUUUUCAUUAUAUUAACAAUGAUUAAUUUAAGAGAAAGAUAAAUAAAAUUAAAAUUAAAAUAAUUAACUAAUUAAAUAAAUCACAACUACUCUUCAAAUAAACAAAGGGUAUAAAACUUCUUAAAUUUAGGUUUCAUCACUCUAAUCUAUCUAUGGUUAAUAAUUUAACUAAUUUAAUUUAGAAAAUACAUAUUUUGAAGGUGAGAAUUUCUUAAGGUAAUUUAAUUCUCUUUCAAGGUAUAAAAGUAUAUUAUAAUUUAAAUUUCAAUCCUUGAUUUCUCGACUAUUCAAAUUAAUUUAAGAUCUAAGAAAUCUUACCAUAAUCCUCAACUAAAUGUAGCUUAUGUCUAAAUCUAAAUAAGAUUCAAUUAUUAGCUUUUUAAAUUUUAAAGUUCACCUUUCGAUUCUUCAGUUAAAAUUUACAAAUAAAAAUAUUAAAUCAAAUAAUUAAAAUAGUAAUCAUAAUAAUCGCUUUGGAUCAGGCCAAUUCUAUUCCAUACUAGAUGUGAAAUGAAGAAUUUUCAAGGAGAUCACUCAUCCUAAGAUUUCCUUUAACUCUGGUGUUCUUCCAACUUUCCAAUUCAUUGCACCAAAAGGCGCCUUUGUUUUCCCUUUUUUAAUAUAUGAUCCGAUUCAUUCUUGUGUCUCACAUUCCUCUAUCCAUAGCUAGCCUGCAAUCCUAGAAGCUAUGUGAAAUUUCCUAGGAGGUCACGCAUCUUAGUAUUUCCUUUAAGUGAGCACGCUUAACUUGGAGUUCUUCUAACUCUCUAUGUCAUUCUAUCAAAAGGCGUAUCUUAUAAUUAAUUUUUCCCUUUUCAAUCUAUGAUCAAAUUCAUUUCUGUGUCCUGCAUUUAUCUACUCAUAACGAGCCUGCCGUUCUAAAAAUUAGCCAGGAGUUUUGCUUUACACGUCCUUUUAUGAUCGCUUUGCCGGAUGAAAAUGUUGUAAAUGAUUAAAGUAUCAAGAUAAAACAUUGAAUUUUAGAUGGAAUGGAUAAUAAAACUAUAUUGUUGACUUCAAUGGAGGCUUGAUAUUCUGCACUUCAAAAAAUCUCCUUCUUAUCUUAUAACUUGUUGUAAAUUCAUUGCGAGACAGUGAUUUGAUUUGAAGCUAGCUAGGCUCCUUGGAUAUGAUUUUAUUUUAGUAAAUUAUGCUUUUAUAAAGGUUUUAAACUCGUCCUUAGACAGAAUGGAGCCAUAUCAAAAAGGAACUUGGAAAAUCAAUUGGAGAAGUUUUAGAAUGAGAAGCACAAUAUAGAAUUAAGAAUUAGAAUUAGAAUUAAGAAAAAGCAAAAAGAAUUAGAAUUACGAAGGUUAUACAUAAAUAUGCGAUAAAUUUAAUUAAAUAAAUUACAUGGGAAGAAAUUAAAAUUAAUGAUAUCGAUUCAUACAGAUAUAAAAAUAUAGAAGAAGAGGUUAUCUAUUAAUUCAAACGCAAAGUAUGAUUCAUGUUGUGAUUUGUGACUUAUAAAUGACUUGAAUAUAAAUUAAAGAGUGAGCAUAGCUUGGUGGUGAGGAUAUAUAAUAUUAUCAAUAUAAAAUAUUGGUUAGCUUAUGAAUAAUUUGUUACAUUAGUAAAUUGGUAAAUGUUUGAUUUAGAAAAUGACCAAUUGGUUAACCUCAUUAGUUAAUAUUUAUUAAUAUAUUAAAUAUAAUAUAAUUACCUUUAGGAUAUUGUUUACUAUUCAGACUAUUUAUUAGUUUAAAAUUUUCGGAUAAAAAGGAAAAUAAAAUUUCUGAUUAUUCAUAACUUAAUCGAACCAAGAGGCUUGUGAGAUUGACCUAGGGGUAGGGGAUUCCUAUAUGAUUGAAUUGCGAAAACUAAUAAUUUCAUUUUCAUCUACCAAAAUAACAGGAAAUGUUUCAGGAAAAGUAGGCAUACGACGUACAGAAAGUUCAUAUCCUUCUUUAUCUCUUGACAGGAUGUCCUAAUCAUCUAAUAACUGUUUUAUCCCCGUUGUCCAUUGAGCUUGCUCUCAAUCACAUGUGUAAAAUCUUCUUUAAAAGUGAUUCUUUUAUUGAAUAAACUUAGGGUUUUAUGAACGUGUUGGUGCAUUUUAGUUGCGAUUAUAGCAAUUCAUGGCAUAAAUUACGGUUAUAAAAGAUUAGGUGUUUAUAGCUACAAUAUCAAAAGUUGAUGGGCAAGCCUUUCUAUAAGAAGAUCAAAUAUGUACAUUGAGUGACUUUUCAUUUUUUUUUUUUCUCCACUCUAUUUUAGAAUAUAAUGAACACAUAAUCUUGGCGCGAUGUGUCGGUUAAUUUAAAUAUAAUUUUAUAAGUUGUGUCAUAAUAUAAUAGAAUUUGAAAUUUUAUAAUAAAAGUGUAUGUGAUACUUCAUAUUUAUUAAUUUCGUACAUAAUAAUUUAACUUAUAAACAAUGUUGUAAAUGUUAUAUUGACAUUAUUAUGUACAUGUAAUUAUAUAAUAAAUCAUGAUAGCAUCUGUGCAGUUUGAUAAUGUUAUUUGUCAAAAUAUUUGUUAUCACACAGAUACAUAUAUUUUUCACCAAAUAAGGUUGAAAAAUUUAUAUAUGUUCGUUUUUGUUUUUGUUGGCACAACUUUUUUAUAAAUUUGUCAACAAUACAAUUUUAUUGUCAACCUAUAGUAAUUUUUAAAAUAUUUUUUAAAAAUAAAAAUAAUAAUUAAUAAAAUUAUUAAUGAAAUUAAUUUCAUCAUUAAUUUAUUAUUUAAAUAAUCACCAAAGAUAAUUUAUAUUCAUAAUUAAUUGAAAAGUAAAUACAUGAAAUACUAUAUACAAUAAGAAACUUUUUUUUUUUUACAUUUAUAAUAAGUAAAAUUUAAUAUAUUAUCUAUUUAUAAAGUUUUUUAAUUUGAAUAUAUGCAAAAUAAAAGCUUUUUAAUGUCAAUCUAUUAUAUAUAUAAUAUUUCUCAAAUGAAAAUAGACAAUUUAUAUAAAUAAAAUUAAAAAUAAUUUUUAUUAAUUUUUUUAUCUUUAAAUUUUUAAUUUUAAUCAAUUUAGAUAAAAAGUCAAAAAAAUAUAAAUUUAUAUAGAUAUUAUUUUUGAGUUUAAAUAAGAUAUCAAAUAUUAUUAUUUUAUUGAUCGGACUAAUAAUAGAAUAAAUAAAUAUUAUUUUAAAAAUAUUAUUAGUAGAGCUUUAUAUAAGUUUAUAAUAUUAAUAUUCAAUUUACUUGAAAAAUUUAUUAUCAAUAUUUAGUAAUUAAUAUUUAAUUGAUAAUUGUUUAUUAUAAAUACAAAUAUUAAUAGUAUUUAAUGUUAUCAGUUAUAUGUAUGCACGUAAACCAUCAAAGGUUUCAAAUUCUAAUGAUUUCUACUUAUGAGAGAAUAUAUAUGGCAUUUAUUUAUUAAUUGGAUCUAAAAAAAUGAAAAUAAUCAAAUUAAUGAAAAAAGUUUUUUUAUAAAAAUCAAUGGCAAAUCAAUUUUAUAUAUUACAAAAUUAACCAUUCAAUUUAUGCUUUUUAAAAAAUGCAUGGAAAACUCAUAUUCAAUUUGCUUAUAUAAAUUUAGAAAAAUUUAUUUAAAAAAUUUUAAAUGAAUAAUUAUUUAUGUUAUGACAAGAGUGUAAUUAAAGAACAAUAAAAAGGUUAAGUGAAAAAAUAAUAUUGGACAUAAAUCUAAUUAAAUAAUUAUAAAAGCAUUAAGCGGGAUAAAAUACUGUUGUGGCAAGAAUCUAACUAAAGAAUAAUAAAAUUAUUAUAUGAUAAAAAUAUAAUUAAUAAAAAGUAAAAGGGCUAAAUGGGACACGCCGCUUAGAUAGUAAUAAUAAUAUAAUAAAACCUUUAAAUUAUAUUGAAAUUAACACUUUAAGUCUUUCAAUGUUUUAGAAAAAUAAUUAUAAAGUUAUUAACUUAUAUUUUCAUCUCACAAACAAAUCCUUCCAUCUUAAAAAGUGAGUUCUUUAAUUACUGUUAGUUAAAUAUACUUUUUAACUUUUUUGAUGGAAUAUGCUCACUUUCUAAAUAAAAUGUGACAUCCUACCAAAUCGAGUCUUAGCAUAGAGUUGAGUAGUUGAGUUGAGUCGAGUUGAACCAAACCCGGUUGGGGUAGAAUGGGUUUAUAAGUGGAGUUACUUGAGUGAGAGAAAAAGAUCAAAGCAUAAGGGUUAGGAUUUAUUUGCACUAAAACAUACAGCUUGGGUGUUAAGUUGUAACCUUCUUACAAUUGAGGUACCAUUUAGAACUUUUACACACAAAGUUAUGGAUCUUUUAGAGCCUACCCGUGCAUACCCAUUUCACUUUCCCAUUUUCAUGUUUAUCUUCAUCUUCUUCCUUUCCUCUUCCACCUUCCUUUCAAUUUUAAUGGUAGUUAAGCCUUAACUUCAACUUCUCUUUUAUCCAAGUAAGUAAACCUUCUUGAAGUUCAUAAUUGAAUCAUUUGGUGCUAUUAUUUUAGAAUUCAUAAGAAUUCUUAUUUAUAGGUGAAGGGAGUUCAAGGAGUGUAGAAAAAAGAAGUUAAAGAGGAGCUCAAGCUUUUUGGAGUAAAGGUUUGAUAUCUCUUUUCAUUUACCAUUUUCUUUGUAUGAGAUUUGUGUGGUGUGUUGCUAUUGAGACAAUAUUGCUUCAUGUUGAGUGGGAGGACUGGUAAUGGUGAGAAACAGGGGAGAACAGGGGANNNNNNNNNNNNNNNNNNNNNNNNNNNNNNNNNNNNNNNNNNNNNNNNNNAAUUUUACUAGUAACUUCAUCUUGAUUUUGACCCCAUUUAAUGAUGGAAUUAGGAAGUGUCAUAGAAGAGUUAUUUGUUCCUCUAUGUGUUAGCUUUACAUGGGUUUUUGAAUCAUCCAAAUUGGAGUUGUAUAUUGAGAGAUAUGACCAAAAGAGUACAGACUGUGCAGGCUGGAAAACGCGAAGCACGCGCUCGAAUCGCAUGACGAGCUCGCGUUGCCUUCUCGCGCUCGCGACUUUCAAGUACGCGCUCGCGACUUGUGCCCGAUAACUCACUGUCUCUCAUUUGGCACUUCUCGCGCUCGCGACUUUCAAGUGCGCGCUCGCGACUUGUGCUCGCAAACUCACUGUCUCUCAUUUGGCACAUCUCGCGCUCGCGUACUUGGCCCUUGGCCUGUAAGCGCUCGCGACCUUCAUCGCGCGCUCGCGAAUUUGGCCUGGGAACUCACUGUCUCUCAUUUGGCACUUCUCGCGCUCGCGACUUUCAAGUACGCGCUCGCGACUUGUGCCCGAUAACUCACUGUCUCUCAUUUGGUGCUUUACGCGCUCGCGACCUUGCAAGGCGCGCUCGCGACUUGUGUUUUCAUGCAUUUUUGGCCUUCUUUUUCAAUGCAAUUGUAUUCCUUUGCUUCACUUAUAUGCCUCCAAUCAUUUUAACAUCAAAUACAACAUUAGAACAUGUAUCAAAACAACAUUCAAGCAUGCAAAUGAUGUGAAAUCAAAUGAACAUUAUGAAUUAUGAAGUUAUGACCUAUUACUAUGAUGUUGUGUUAUAUUAUUGACAUACCAACAUUAUGCUCCAUUGAGGUUAGGUAGAAACCAUGUAGAUAAGGCUAUGUCGCGACAUAGGAUAGCAGAUCUGCACCUCAUACAGUUUGAUACUCCGGCUACAGGCCGUUGAGUGGAUAUGAUUAUAUAUGGGCCAUAGCAGCCAAGCAUACAGUAUUCAUCCAGUUUCAUACAGUUUUUCUUAUCACUUCGGUUUCACUAUAACCUUAUGGAGCCAUACAGAUAUCUUGACAUAACAUUUCAUGAAUUAUACAGUAUUAUAAACAGUACAAAAGAUAGUCAAGGUAUCAUGAAAGUAUCAUGAUGUGUGCUUAUAUGUGCCAUAUGUGUUUACAUGGUUCUUUCUAUACAUGUAGGUGUUUAAUGGUUUCUUUAUAUGUUGAGAUAUCCACUGAGCUUUAUUUGCUCAGCGAGUUACCUAUCUAACUCGCAGGUUUUGAGAUCGGACAGUAGAGUCAGCUUACAACUGUUGCAGUUCAUCUGUAGAAGACUCAGUCUUCAGGGUAGCUACUCAUUUUAAUAUGUAUCUUUUGUCUACCCUUUUUAUGGCAUGUACAGGGCACUCAGUUGGGCUCAUUUCAUUUUGACACUAGUAUCAUGUUUUGUAAAUAUAAAUUACAUUAUUAUUGUAAACAACAUCAGCAUGAUAUUAUAUUCAAGAGACAUUAUAAUUUCAGCAUGUCAGGCCAUACAGUCAACCAGUUUGUAGCGUCUCGGUUCGGUUCAUUCGGAUUUACGGGUGGACCGGGAAGGGAUGUUACAUAAAAAUAGUUCAUUUUUCAAAUAAAAUAAUCUAAUAGUGAGAUAAAAUAUACGUUAGAGAGAUUGUAAUUAUUUCUUAUUUAGAACUCUAAAUAAUAAUCAUAAUAAUAAACUGAUUAAUCAUUUUCCUUUUAAGUGUAAAAAUACAUUGAAUUUCGGAUGUUGUUACAAUUUCAUCAUUUCAAUUAUAAUCUCUAAGUUUAAUUUUAAGUUAAUACUUAUGAAAAAGUUAAAAAUGUAGUAAAACUAUAACAAGUUGCAACAAUGUUUAUUUCCUUUCUUUUUUAUUAUCUUGAUUUGCUAAUUAGCGAAAAAAAAACAUCAUUGCAGUAAUUAAUUAACAAACUGCAUGAAUAAAAUUUUAAGAUUAAUUAUAUUGUAUUAUUCUAUUGGAAAAAUUUCCACUGGAUUGGAUAUUAUUUUUAUAUAUUAAAUAUAUAACUGACUCCAGCUAGUUUGAGACUAAACUUUAGUAGUUAAAGUUGUUAUAUAAAAAUUAAAAUCAUUAUAAUUGCAUAAUUAUUAAAUUAUUCUCUCAAUAAUAUAAUUUAUAUAUUAUAUUAUUAUUAUUAUAUAACAAUAUAUAUAUAUAUAUAUAUAUAUAUAUUAUAUGCCAUAUAAAAAAUGAUUUGGUAAACUCAAUCAGAUAGUUUAUUAGCAAAAAUCAUUUGUAGGUUGAUUACCAUAUUAUAAAUUUAAUUUCUUGUAAUAUAAAUUUUUUCGGAUCAGCUCAUUUAUAUCCGAGGUCGAGUGAAAAUUAGUCGGAUCUAUCUACAGGGAGACGAUAUGGAAGUAUAAAAGAAAAAUGAUUUGGUAAAAUUUUAACUCGUACCUAUUUCUUCUUCCGAGAAUGAGAAAUUUCUCGUUAUUAGUUCAUUAAUCAACGAACAGGCAUUUUGUCCCUUGGGUAGUUUGGACUUUGGAGCACGUCAAACAGCAAAUACUGAAACGAUGCAGAUGGUUUUAUCGCGUGAAUUAUUAUUAUUUUUUAUAAUUUGGUAAAACUUAUAAGUUAGAAUUUUUAUUUUUUAAAAAAUAUUAAAUAAGUAAAUUUUUAUUUGUAAUUUAAGAAUUGUGAAAAAUAGAAUAUAUAAAAAGUUAAUUUAAUUUGAUAUUGAUUUAAACAAGAAAUUCAAAAUUUUGUUAAUGGUAAAAUUAAUAUUUAUUAUAAAUUUAAUGAAAAUUAAAAAUAAAAUGACUGUUUAAUUAAUUUUUGAAAGUAAAAAAUUUUCAAUUUGCAAAUUUUAUUGGAUUAGGAUGCUAUGAAUGCCGAAUCGAAUUAAGAUACUGUGUGUUGUACGCUAACUUUUUAAGUAGCUUUCACAAAACAUUAGAGGUUAGAAUCAAAUUUUAUUCAAAGACUAGUUAAUUGUAUUUUAUUUUAUUUUUAAAUAAUUAAAUUUUAUCUCACUUCAUUAUAUAUUUUUAUAUUUUAAUAUAUAUAUAUAUAUAUAUAUAAUUCUUUAAAAAUUAUAAAUAUAAGAGACAGAAAAUUCUUCCCUUUGUAUUUGCCUUGUUCAUAUGUUUCAUUUCCUAGUUUUACUCUGCUAGAACGAAAAAAAAAAAAACCCUCGUCUCGUUCUCGUCUUUGCUCCAUUUCCUGCAAAAUUUCCAUUUCCCAAACAAACCCUAAAAUCAAUCCAAACAUUAACCGAUACGACGAUACAGAGACAAGACGGUGCAGACCGGGAAGAGUCUUCGAUGGAAAUUGUUGAAUCGCUGAGUUGAAUUGGAGGAGGCAUAGAGAGAGAUCUGAGUCAAAUCAAUUGAUGCACUAAUGGGCGCUGCAGGCUCGAAACUGGAAAAAGCUCUUGGCGACCAGUUUCCUGAAGGCGAACGAUACUUUGGCCUCGAGAAUUUUGGCAACACUUGCUACUGUAACAGCGUCUUACAGGUUUUGUCAAACUUUCGAUUGUAAUAGCUUUUCAUUUAGUUCUUAAUUAUUGUUAAGUAAUUAUCGUUUUUGUGCUUAUCCUUAUCGUGUGGUUUUGUUUUAUCAAAUCUUUUGUAGCUUGUUAGUUCGUGAACUGUUCACCAUUUUUGAGGGAAUUGAUUUUUUCUUAUGGGCGCUUUUAGUUGGAUUAGAUGUUUCGUGUAGAGUGCAUUUCUGUGACAUGUGAUUAAACAAGAUAUGUACUGAUAUUUGUAUAGAAAUGGAGAUUAAGGUUAGGAUUUAACAUUAGUAACAAAUAUAUGUGUUUAUUGCUUUUGCAAAAGGUUGUAUAGUUUAAGAUUCUGGGUAUUUAGUAUUUUAAAUUUAAACUUGAUAGAUAUGAUUGGUUUAAAUUUUAAGCUGGAAAUUAUGAGUAAUUAUUUGGCAGGGGUUUAUGGUAUAAGUAAUUAGUGACUAGAGAUUCAUGUAAUUCAUAUGGUUACGUAUGAGGUGCUCAAGUUUGUUACGUGUUAUUAGCCUCUGAUUUUCUUGACUUGAUUUUUUUUUUUUUUUUUUUUGUUUUUGUUUUUUUUUUUUUUUUUGUUUUUGUUUUUUUUUUUUUUUUUGUUUUUGUUUUUUUUUUUUUUUUUGUUUUUGUUUUUUUUUUUUUUUUUUUUAAAUGGGAAACAAGAUUUUGUAGUGUGAUAUUAGCAACUGAAUUGGUUGAAAUAGAUUUGAAGCAGCUUUUAGGAGCAAAUUAUAUGCCUUUCUGGCCUGUUCAUUGAACUCUCAACUCUGCACUUCCUAGUCCGUGUAUUUGCAAAUUACUUACACUAUCCUUACUUUGAAGGAUUUAUUAUAUGCAUGCAUCUUGAGAUUCUGUUUAAUGCAUUGUUAAUUAUAAGUACUGUCAGUUUCUCAAAUUAGCUCCGAUUUUAUUGUCUUUACUAAGAUAUGUAUCAACUUCUUGAAUAGUCAUUCAAUGUAAUUUUAAGUAGCUGAAUUGCAUUCAUAAUGAACCCAAAAUGAAUUAUUGUCAUCUAUUUUUCAAUUUUUUAUCUAUUUGUACCUCAUCAUGCCUUACUUCUAUUCGUCCUUUUACAAUGCAGGCACUUUACUUUUGUGUGCCGUUUCGUGAACAACUACUAGAAUAUUAUGCAAAUAAUAAAAGUACUGGGGAUGCAGAGGAGAAUCUCUUGACUUGCUUGGCGGACUUAUUUACACAGGUAAACAAAUCCCUGUAAACGUUUGGAACUUUGAUUGUUACUUUGGAUGUCAAAGCAAGUGAGAUUUAUCAUCAAGUUCAUUUCUUUGUCCUUUUUUAAGUGCUUAAAAUUUUCCCCUUCAACUUUCUACAUGCUCUUGUGCUAUAUAAUUAUGUUAUAAUAAUGUUACAUGAGCAGCUGGGAUUAUUAUUUUUUUCUGAAUAUGUAAUGGGUUUACUUUGCUGCCUAUUCCCCUAUAUAAUUAUGAUAUAAUAAUGCUCUUGUGCAUGCUUUUAUUUAUUUUUACUUGUUUGUUCAUUCUUCACAUUUUCUUUUAUUAAUGACAGUAAUAUUUUUAUUAGUUAUUUUUUUUGGUUGUUAUUGUGGUAUGCUUCUUCAAAUAACAUUGUCAUAAAUAAUCUAGUGAACUCUUAUCUCAGAAAUAGGUUAGAGAUUCAUUUAGAAGUUAACAGCAUAAGAUAGUAUGUUAGAAUGUUUUUCUCGAAACCAAUUUUGGAUACGAUCAGCUGAUUUAUUUGUUAUGCAAAAAGGGAGGGGGAUUCAUCUAAUUCAGUGUGUAGUGUGUUUGUGUCCUCUCUUAUAAUUUCCCUUGUCAUCAUGCUUGGAAUUAAAUACUCUAUCUUUUCUUUUUCCUUUUUUUUUUUUCCGUUUCUUUUUCCUUUUCUUUUUGGCUUUCUAAAGUCAGUUCUUGUGGAAACAGCAUCUGAUAACUAUAUAGGUAUUUACCUCCUUUGUAGAUAUACUCAUCUACAUCCACUUAGCAUUAAUGUAAAUGUUCUUCUCCUAAGAAAUUGAGCAAGUCAAUGAAACGCGUUUGCAUAUAUUUCCACAGUUACUUGUCCUCGGGUUUUACUGGCAAUAGCUUUAGUAAUGUCUUCGGAUAUUGCUGCUUGGUGUUUGUCCAAUUAAGUGUUGUAUUCUCAAGAUAUUAGUAAUACAUUCUCAGCUAAAGCACUCUCUUAUUUUUUGGAACCUUAGUAUUUUGUUCAUAAUUUAUUUUUAUCUAAUGCAACAACUACAGCAACAACUAAAUCCUGAACUUUUUAUUUUAUAUGAAUUCUAUGCCUCAAUUCCACUCUGUUUGUGGCUAAUCCAAACUAAUGCCAAAAAAGAAAAAAAAAAAAAAAGAAAUCCCUUGCUUGUUACUCUUGUUUAAUUCACAUGUUUUGUUCUGUGCAUUUGUGCUUUCUGCUGAUUCACUUCAGAAAGGAGCAAAAAAGAGUUAUUGUGUUGCAGAAGAUAUGCAGGGGUUAUUUGUUACUGUUUCAGCUAUGUUGUUGGGCCCAACUGUGAUUAUUCUUGUGUGUAGAUAAGUUCACAGAAGAAGAAAACAGGUGUAAUUGCCCCAAAGCGUUUUGUACAGAGAUUGAAAAAACAAAAUGAGCUUUUCCGCAGCUAUAUGCACCAGGUAUAGGUUCAUUUGCAGUAAUUAAUCAUAUCAGUCUGUUUGACAUAUAGAUUUACACUGGACUAAGAAAAAAGUUUACAGAUGAAUAAAUGUUUGUCUAUUUUUCAUGCAGGAUGCUCAUGAAUUUUUGAAUUUUUUGCUAAAUGAACUUGUUGACAUAUUGGAGAAGGAAGCCCAAGUGGCAAAAAGUGAUCUGGAAAGUUCAUCCACAUCUGAAAAGGUUGCAAAUGGUCCAAAACAUGCUCAGGCGAAUGGUCUUUCAAAGGAACCUUUAGUGACCUGGGUACACAAAAAUUUUCAGGUGACUUAUAUUUUUGUUUUUGUUGUAAGUUAUUUGCAUAGUUAAAUGUCAAACAUUCUAAAUUUUCUUCAUUAUUAGUUUAUUAUUUGCUUUUGCCUAUACUUUGUUAGAUAGUACUGGCAAUAUGCUUUUUCCCUGCAUAAUUUCCCUCCUUUCUUGCCUUUCUCUCCAACCAGGAGGAAAAAUUAAAAAAAAAAAAAAAAAAAAUGAAAGGAAAAGCAAGCAUCUCAUGACUUGUUAUGCAUGCUUGUAUCAGGGAAUUCUUACCAAUGAGACAAGGUGCCUCCAAUGCGAGACUGUUACAGCAAGAGAUGAAACAUUUUUCGACUUGAGCCUUGAUAUUGAGCAGAACAGUUCAAUAACAAGCUGUUUGAAAAAUUUUAGUUCCACAGAAACUUUAAAUGCAGAGGAUAAGUUUUUCUGCGACAAGUGCUGCAGGUAGGUGAUUUUGUUGAAUUGUCAUUUACCAUUGGCUUCUUUUUGUUGUUAUUUAUAGUUGAGUUGAUUUAUGGAAUUAGCCUUCUAGUGCUGUUCUCAAUAGUUUGUGCAACACAGUCUAUUUAGAGUCUUGCCUGGAAUUAUUUGGUCCACAGUUUCACUCACUAGAAGUCUAGAACUCUAUUUUUGUUGCUGGGUAUGACUCUUGGAGAGCUUGGAUUGGCUUUACAGGCCAUUUACCAGAUCUCCUCUCCCCCACUGUACUUCCGAAAGGAUCAAGGGGGAGGGGUUUCAAGGGUGUUGUGCAUUGAACCCUUUAUCUCUUGUAUUAUUAGACAGGAAUUCUAUCACUGGGCUGCUAGCCCAAUGGCAAAAAUUCAUUACAGAGCUUGAAAACAGGUAAUUCUUUAAAGCAAUAACAGUUUGACAGUUUAUACAUUUGUAAAUUACCUGCAAAAGGCGGAUCGAUGUUUGAAUGCAUCCACUCAUAUCAAUAUUGAAAUGCAGCAAUUCAUUAGCCCAUCUAAAAUUGCAUCUUUUUCAAGGGUUUUUCUUAUAUUUAUCUGAUUUUUAUAUUAUUUAUAGUUAGGAUACUUAAGCUGAAGAAUUAACAACACAAAGCCAAGUAUCUGGUUGUGGGAUCAGUUGCUAUUUGCCAAAUAUGUUGAUGAAAAUUUGCCAAAUAUGUUGAUGAAAUCUUUAGUAAGUCAUCAAGGAGGGGAUCGGUAGUGGUGCUAGCCUGUUGGGCCUACUGCUACUGGGCACACAGGAAGUACCUACCAAUUUUCAUUUAAUUUCUUAGUCCAUGGUGAAGGUAUAGGGACAUGGAUUUCAAACUGGAUAGGUGUGAGAUGACCUAAUAAUGGUUUACAUUGUUAGUACAUUGCUAUUUUGUGUGUUUUUGUAAAUAUGAUAAAUGUAACCUUUCAAAUUGCCAUGUUUUACACAGCACUUGUUUUAGUCGGUUGUGGUAGUUGAUUUUGAGCAUUCUUGAAAAUUUGGAUGAUUGUUUGAACCUCCAUUAUUAGUUACGUGUUUCUGAUAGUUUGGACAGGAUCAAACAUAUCAUGUUUAAUAGUUAAAUGAUAAAAAUCUUUUUGUUCCAAUUGCAGUUUGCAAGAAGCUCAGAAGAGGAUGAAGAUAAAGAAACCUCCUCACAUCUUGGUCAUCCAUCUGAAGAGGUUCAAAUACAUUGAGCAGCUGGGUCGAUACAAGAAGCUAUCUUAUCGAGUUGUCUUUCCACUUGAGCUGAAGCUGAGUAAUACAGUUGAAGAUGCAGAUAUUGAAUACUCGUUAUUUGCAGUUGUUGUUCACGUUGGAAGUGGGCCCAAUCACGGACACUAUGUCAGCCUUGUGAAAAGCCACAAUCACUGGCUAUUUUUUGAUGAUGAAAAUGUGGAGAUGAUUGACGAGUCUGCUGUGCAGACAUUUUUUGGUUCAGCGCAAGAAUAUUCAAGUAAUACAGAUCAUGGAUACAUCUUGUUUUACGAGAGCCUGGGUGCGACUAGCAAGAGUUGAGAAGAGCAAGCUUUGGUUUUACAAGUAGGUAAUUUUAAUCAUUUGGACUGGAGUCAUCUUUUCCUCGACCAUCUGUUAUAUUUUGUUUUUCUUCUUUUUUUCCCCUUUUGUUCUUCAACCAGUGGGAAAAGCUCUCAAUCAUAAUGAUAUGGGUUGUGAAAAAUGUAUACUUGGUUUGUUUCCAUGUACAGCGGAUAAUGGAAGCACACUGUACUUUUGUUUUUUUUGUUUUUUUUCCUCAGAAUAAGAAGAAAGAAGAUCAGUGUAUAUGGUGUGAGGGAAUUACACAGAGACACUAUGUAUUCUUCAUGGUUGAGAACGCUUAAUCAGAACAUUAGAAAAUGCAAUCCAAUUGGAAUUUCUAGGAGCACUCCUGUUACUCAAUUCUGUUGUAAAUAAUUCUUAAAUACUGUUCCGUAAGGUCAACUAUGCUUAUUUUAGGAGGUUUCGACCUGCAAAUUUUUGUUAUUCUUCGUGUAAAUCAGGCACCCAUUUGAAGCUCUUAAUCCAUCAAAAUUAUCUGGAAUGGCUAAUUUUAGGCAUGGUUGCUAACUAGGGUUUUUGGUGAGCAAUGUUUGGUUCAAGUUUUCACUUUUUACCUUGUAAGUACAUUGGAUAAAUUAGUUUAAUUAAUUCCUACGGUCAGGCAAAUAUUAAACUAUUACCAAAUCCAAAAAUCAUCAUAAACAAUCAAAUAAUAGAAAAAAUUUAUAUUUAGUAUUUGCCACAAAUAAUUCAUCCAAAAUUCAAAGUAGGAGUGUAAGUUCAAAGUAGAAUUAAUUCGCGAGUUGUUUGAACUAGCUCGAAAAAAGUUUGAUUUGAAUCAAAUUUGAGUCUAAAAAACUUUCAAGUUUGUCGAGUUUCGAGUCGAGUUAAAUUUUGUAGAGCUGAAGUUCAUUCAGCUCGGCUUGUUUAUACAGCUAGUUCAAAAUAGAAUAUAUUAGGAUCAAGUUGCUUGAUUUAAGUCCAAUCUGUAAAUAGGGGUCAAUGGUUUUCCUUUUUGACAUGUCCAAACUACCAAAUGUGUGAACCCACGAACUGUAAACGGACGAGAUCAAAAUAGAAUUAUAUUAGGAUCAAGUUGCUUGAUUUAAGUCCAAUCUGUAAACAUAGGUCAAUGGUUUUUAUUUUUGACAUGUCCCAACUACCAAAUGUGUGAACCCACGAACUGUAAACGGAUGAGAUCUGAAUAACGUAAGCUACGUAUAUCAAAUAAAUGAUAAAUAAUAUAAAUAGUUUUAAAUAAUAUUUAACUAUUUAAGAAAAAAAACCGAUAAAAUUAAAUAUACUUAAUAACAUAAUUAUGAAAAUUUUUUCACAAACUACAAUAUAAUAAUAAUAUUAAUAAUCAAUAAAAUUAAAAAUAUUGACAUAUAUACAACAACACAUUAUUUACGGGUUAGGUUGGAUUGCAGAUUCACCAACCCAAUCCGUCAAUCAUAAAGCUAAUCAACUUAACCUAAACCAUUGUAUUUUUAAACUCGUCAGAUUGAAUUGAGUUGAGCCAGGCCGUUGAGAUUGGUAGAGUAAAAACAGAUCAUGUGCAGCGCCAGUUCAAAGCUAAAGAGAUCGAGUAAAUUAUUAAUCUGUAGGUUGAUAUUAGAUUAUAAAGACUAAGAUGUUAGGAAGGAGCAAUGCCAACUACCCAUAAUGACACAUUGAAGUUCAGCAAUUUACAUUCAUUCCUAUGUUGAUUACACGUUGGCAGUAAGUAAAUUGUGAAUAUGGCUUCAAUUGCUUCCAUUGGUUCAACUAUUAAAUCCCCUUUUAGCAAGUAACAAUUAUAAGCAGCAAAGGGGACAUUUACAAAUGAAUUGUCGCAGAGCCAAAGAGGAGAACAUUAACCAGAUAUUGCCUCAGGAAGCUGUAGGCAUGAAAGUGUCAUCAUCCAACAAUGCAUCAAGAUCAAUCAGGUCAUCAAACUCCGCUGUUGCUUCAGAAUUGUUAAUGCGGUCAGACAAAAUCUGUAAAAUCAAUUGAGAAAAAGAAAAAAAAAAAUCAUUACAUUAUCCAGAUUAAUAUAGUACAUCAAACAAAUUUACAAGGCAAGAAAUCAUUCAGACCUAUUCAAGUUAUCGUUCAAAUAUAUUAAGAAUGUAAUUCCCAUAACGAAAAUAAGAUAAAUGAGCAACCAGAUACCUACUUUGCAUAAGAGAUCAAAUUUAUUCCGAGCCUUUUAAAUCAAUGCUCAAUGAGUCAUCAUUUGAUGCAAACAGUUAGAAAUAACAUUCCAUCUAGGCAAAACUCUACAAAAACUAACUGCAGGUUCACAGAUUUAGGCAUAUAAAUCCCUCUGUGGUUCAUGUCUUUAGUAUAUUUGGACUUUAUAUGCAUGUCCCAAAAAAAAAAAAAAAAAAAAAACACAAUUCAAUGAAGACAAGGCUAUGGUUGAGCCCUCAAGAGCUCCCACAAUGAGUCUACUUGCAAGUAUUUUAGCACGUAUCUUGCUAUUAUCUGUAGCAUGUCAGGGGAAAAAAUGAGUAAAGUAACACCUCAAUUACCUUGGUCUCUUGGAUCUCAGUGACAACAUUUAGCAGCCUGCGAUAUUGAUCUCUUGCCUCUGGAUACUGGUGCAUGGAUUUCACCCUUGCAAGGGCUAUCCGUGAUCUUGCUUCUGUUUGCAUUCUGCCUUCUUUAAAGAAAUCAUAGUCAUCCUCUUUUGAGGAUGUAUCAUGUUUGCUGGGCCCCUCAAUAAGUGCUUCAGAUUUGAAUCCACGCAAACCACUUCUUUUUCUUCUCCAUCGCAAGAUGACUUUCUCCACAAUUCCUACAGACCAUAUUAUUUUUUUAUAGUUUUUCCUGACCUGAUGACCUCUUACGUGCGCCUUUCACCAAAACAGAUAAAAAGUUAGAAUUCAAGAUUUCGGAUUUGAUAAGAGAAAAAACCUUGUCGGAGAAAAAUUAUACAUAAAUAUCUUAAAGAAAAAGCAUUAAGAUUAUAUGACAUGCAGCAAUUGCACUAUGUACCUGAAUUUUAACUAUUCGCUGGCGAAUAAUUAAAAAUUCUUUUCUCCCCUUCCAACUACGGAACUUGUUUUGAAUCCUAAUUGCAGCAGCAUGCACUGGUUCAUCAUGUCGUCCUGGCUUGAGCGCUUUUACCGCAAUAAGUGAAAGAGCACGCUCAUGCGACACUCCAGAUUUAUCAUCACCAAACUCUUUUAACUGCUUCUUUUGAAAGGACUGUACCCUGAAGACUUGGUGAAUACGAGCAGCAGUUUGAGUAGCAUUACAAACAGCAGCCAAUGAAUCCUUUAGAGACAGACCAUAUGGUAAGUCCACACUAUUGAUUGCAGAUGUACUAUGCUCCGGGACUAUCUGUACUGCUUUUGCCCCAGAAAUUCCAGCACCAUCACUAUCCCGCUUAUCCAGAUUAAGAGAAGAAAGUUGGGCACUCAAAGCAGAUUCUGCAAGAUAACCAGCAAUUCCUUUGUGCCCAUUAGCAGAGGCUAGGUCAGCAGGUGUCCUGCCCUGACGAUAUUCAGGAGUUGGAUAUGUUAAUGCUCCAGGAGCAGCACCAAGAAGGACGAGGGACACAACUGUGCGCUCUCUGAUAUCCAAGCAAAAAUACAGAAAAAAUUGUAAAAAUUGGAUAAGCAUUUUGUAAAAUUAAUCAAAGAGAUUCUGAGUACAACUUUACUAAUGAAGUUUAGUCGACAGAAGUAAAUUUAGAACUUGAUGACCUCCCCAUAUACACACACAUACAGCUUUUCUUAGCAUAUACCACACAUUUCCAGCAUGGAUUUGUUGAAAUGACUUGAUAUCAUGAAAAAAAUAAAGUCCUCUGCCUCCAAUGAGGUUUGCUAGCAAGCUAACAGCAUUUUGAGCAGUCUCUUCUGGCUUUAGCGUGCAUCCAUUCAUUAAAUAUUUCUACUGCUAAUACAUUACAUACUCGAUAUGAAAUGUAACUGUAACAUGGAUUGGCAUUGUGCAGUGAUCUAAGACAGAGAGGAAAGGACCUUGAGAACAAUUUCCAUUCACUCACCUGCCACAAGAUGCUGCCCAGUGAAGUGCAGUCCAUCCAUUCUCAUCCCGGAAAUUGACAUUUACACCUGCAAUUAUUGUGGGUUCGAGGGCCCAGUCAUAGCCAAAAGCAGCUGCAAAAUGGAGCACUCCCUGGCCACCUUCAUCUAAUACACUAGGGCCUUUUCCACCUUCAGCUGCCUUCUGCAAGAGCCAAACAUAUAACCUGUCUUUGAGUAGCUUUUGAAGAAGUUCCUCCUUUACCUUCUCAGAGGAAAAUCCUGCUUCUGAAUUGUGCUGUAACAUUUGAUCCCAUUCAUUUCUAUCCACUUUCAGAAAUGAACUAAGUUUAUUGCUCAAUUGGGAAUUUUCAUCUAUGUUAUUGGCUGUGCAUUUUGGAAGGGGGCCAAAGCUCAGAGACAAUAAUUUUCCAAACCGCAUGUGAAGAUCUGUGCACAUGCUGCUGCUAUAACUAGCAGUAAUAUUCACAUCUUGGUUAUGGCUGGGCCGAUAUUCAAAUUCACGAACCUCACUACAAGCUACCCUAUCUGAACAUGUAACAUAGAAAGGGACCAUACCCGCCUUAUUUGAAGGAGCCUGGCAACGAAGAACACCAUCAGCUAUAACCUCAGCUUGAACUUCAACUUCCCCAAACAUACAUGACCAUUUACAAGUUUCUGCUUCUUCUCGACUCUUCAAGAAUCUUCCCGUGAUCAGGACCUGAAUAAAUUGUAGAAUGAUUGGAAGAAGAAAAUUAUAACAUGAAAAAUGGAGAAUUAUACACUAGUAUCAGCAAGACUGCUAGAAAUUACAACUUCAUUUAGCCCCCCAGUAACCUUUUGUGUGGGCAAAGACUGACAUCCAACCCAUGCGCAAACUAAAUAGAAGAUUACCUUUAUCUCUGAGAAGGCAUAUGCCCAAUUGGGUGAAAAAUCAAUGAUGCUAAAGAGUUGUUCCUGGGAAAGGGAAGGACCCAACACAAAGGUAUCCAAAUGCACUUGAGAAGGAAUUUUGGGAUCAUCAAUCCCAUUUUCACUUUCAACUGUAUCCCAGUAGGCCCCUGAACUGGACUGCAUGCAUGACUCCUUUACAUCUCCAAGUUCCUUGCUCAUCCAUCGGUUGAAACUAUCAAGUUUCUUCAGACCUUCUUCAGACACCGAACGAUCUAACAAGUGCUGCUUCAUGGCAGAAGAGUAGACAGAUUUUCCUUCCAAGCUCAUACUGUUCUCUGUAUUUGAAUGCUUAACCUGAACAUCAUUUUGUACAGGAUGAUCACUUCCCCGUUUUUGGAAAAGUGCAAGUGUGUUACUUAGAUCAUCACUAACAACUUCCUGUUCAUUAAAGCUAGCAGUGGGAUCAUGUGUUGAGUCUGGAUAUGACUUCUGAUCCGUGGCCCACUUUGAGAGAUAUGCACCUUCAAAAGUCUGUUAACGAGGUGAAUUAAAGCCUAAAUGCAAACAAAUGAAUUGCAAGAGGAAAACAUAACGGAUUCUACAAUGGUGUAUGAUAAUCCAGUGAAGAAAAAAGUGAAUGCAAGUGCAGACAACCAGAUAGUACAUAUAUUCUAGAAAUUAAUAUUAACAAUCAUUCAUUGCUGAUAUGAUAAAUAUUAGUAUAGCAACAAAAGAAAAAGGAAAAAAAAAAAAAACUUAAAAAAGCAAUCACAGUACUGAGUACAUCUAGACUAGAACUUGCCAAUUUCACUCAUAAUUGUAUGAAGAAAAAAGGUUACCAAACUUCAGCAAUUGCUAAAAACUUUUGCGGAAAAAGAGUUUUUGAUUUCAGAAACUACCAUUUUAUCUCAAAUAAAAUCAUUAUGCCAACAAAUUCUAAUGCAAGGUCAACAUCGCCUGUACCUGACAGUCUUUCUGGACUGGUAAAUGAUUCCCCAACUCCUCCUUAUCAAAGCCAUUGGCAAGAAGUUGCCUCAGUGUUUCAUCUUCUUGUUUAGCGGUGGCUCUUGUAGUAUCAGCUUGUGACACAGAUUCAAUUCCAGGAGUACAAUUUUCUAAUACACGCUCCCAUGAGGGUAGGUCAAAAUGUUUUUGUUGUUGAUACGCUAACCCAGCACCAUUAGUUUCUCCAACUUUACCCAUCUGGGAAAGUGAGACAAAGUCCAUUCCAGGAACAGCUAAAAAAUUCUCUUGAUAAGUACCUGUGAACAGUACAACAGGCUAAAAAUUAUCAUGCAAGUUAUUAUCUUUCCUAAUGAAGCAAAGGAUAAUUACUGUACGCACAUAUAUAUUGAAAAGCUUGAACAUCAGAAUAUCAUAAUACAGAGGAACAAAUUUUUACUUGAAAAUGACACAUGAUCAUGGCCAGCAUCAGUCUUCUCCGUUUCAGGCUGCUGUACCUCAAGAAAAGAGUGAAACCCAGAACUCGCUUGUUGAUUAUAUACUGCACCAAAUAUAAUAUCAACUUGUAAUAUUAUGUUGGGGAAAAAAGCCACUGACAUGUCUGUUACUCCAUUCACCAGAACCAGAGUACCUAUUUCAUUUUGGGAACUCCAAUGCCUAGGUCAUUGAAUAAGCAACCUCCAAUCCCUAAAAGCAAAUAUAUAAUGCAUUUUAUCUAGGGUUACAGGCAAGUUUGCAUAUGAGCUAAGCAAAGCCAAGCUUUGGCAAGCUCAAAUUCAACUUGUUUACUAAACAAGCUCCAAAUGAGGUUCAGGCUUGACUCAUCUACUAAAUGAGUCAAGUACUACCAUGCUCAUUUAUAGCUUGCAAGCCACAAUGAGUCUAAUCAAGCAGAAAUCUUUCUCAAUUAUUUAGUUACUAAAUGACAUUAUUCAUAUAUUUAUUGAAAAUUUAAAAUAUUUAUUUUAAAACUGUUUACGCACCUAUAAAUUUCUGCUCUUUUCAAUAUUAUAAAAAAAAUUAUUGCAAAUAAAAGUUGUAUAACGAUAUGACAAUAAUAAUAGCUGAAAACUAUCAUCCGUUAUAUUAAUGACAAUUUCAACAGGGUGAUAUAUUUCCAGAGCUAUUAUUGUUAUUUCUAAAGAAAAAUUUGUUAUCUAUGCAAACUUACCCUUCACCAGUUCAUUCACUCUACCUCUCCUCUAUUUAUUUACUGAAAAAAAAGUUAGAGAUCUUAUAAUUUCUUCAUUGGCAUGCUGAUCUUGCAAGGGAUUCUUAUUUCUCAAGAUUGCAUUCAACAAAUGUCCCAACUGGACUGAAAUUGGCUUCAAGAAUCAGUUAUUUCAUCUGGUAAAAACUUUGGAGAUAAAUCCCACAUGGGCUCCAUAAUUUUGAUAACAGAUGUCCUCUAUAUAAACAAACUUUUUUCAUAGAAAAAUAGGUUUCAUUUAUUCAUAAAUAUAAGUGCCUAGGAAUUGUUUCUAUGAACAAAAAAGCCUACAAAAUAUUUUUAAUUUAGUUUGGGCAAGCAAAACUUUUUUCCAAUUGCUGAUGGUGCACCAACAAAGAAAAACACUCAAAGCAAAAGCAACAAGAUCAUUGUCUUGAUUUGCCUCUGAAAGCAAAUUGUAGGAUUGUUGAUGCCCUGAAUAUGGUGACACUUGGCUCCUUUAGUAUUGUUAUGAAUGCAAGCUUAAAGAGGGGGAUGGAUGAAACAAAUUGAGACAAAUGGAGAAGGAUGAACUGAAAGGUAAAGGGUAAUUUUGUCAAAGUGAAAAUAUUUUCUCCGGCCUCACAAUAGUAGCUUUGGAAACAUCACCACCCUUCGAAUAAGUACUUUUAUGAAUAUCAGGAAUAAAAGUACAGAAAUCUUAAACUUGAAAUCAACUUAUCGUUAAAUUGUAUAGGACUUAGCUCCUGUGUUUAAUCAAGGAGAUACCUAGUUCUAGUUUGGCUCAUUUAUUAGAUAGCCUCAAAAUGAACUUGAUUUAGGUCCAUUAACCUUGAUAAAUGAGCUCAAGUAAGCAUUUAUCAAGUCGAGCAAUAAGUAACUUGCAAAAGACUUGACUUGUUUGAGGUCCUAGUUAAAGGCAAGCAUUACUAGAGAUUUUUAUUGUAUCAAAUAUCCUUGUGAUCCUCUAAACAAAAUAACCAACAAAUUUUCGUAUUAGAAAUUGAUAUAUCAAAUGUAUGACACACCUGAUUCGGCAUCCUCAUAUUCUGAUGCUUGAGCGCUAUUCAUGCUUAUUGUAUCUGUUGUUUGUGCAGGCGCCUGGUGACUAUCAUGACGGAAAUUGGAAGAAACAGAAGUGUCCAUUUCAGAAUGAAGAGUUGUUUCUUCAAUUUCUUGGGCACAUGUCAUAGCAUUUUCAUAUUCUUUAAUACGGUUAAAAUUUGUCCUGCUACCCUAUGAAAUAUUAAACCCAAAUAAAUAAUUAUAGUAAGAACAUGGAUCAAUGAUCCUGUAAAUCCUUGCUUUCCAACAAGUUUAAAUACCGCUGAAUUCUUUUAAUUAAUUAAGAUAGGCCAUGUAUUUUAACAUUGGUACGAAUUCACAUGGCUGAUUUGGAAGAAUUGAAUGAUAAGGAUUAUAAGUAAUUGUGGAACACAUGUGAUCCCCUCAAAUCCACCAAUAGAGCCCUCUUAGAUUACAACUUCCAAAAAUACAAGUGCAUAGUAGGAUUGAGAACAUGAUAUGGACCUCACUCCUAUUAGCCACUCUCUCUAUGUUAGCGUGACUGUUUGGAUAUAUGUUAGUACAGAUAUACACACAUAUGCCAUGAUUCUCACUCACAGGAUACAAUUGAUGCCUAUUCCAAAGUGUAUGGCUUAAAUUGAUAAAAUUAAAAGAACUAGAAAGAAUUCUAUUGAACUUGAGAAAACUGAAAAAGGCUAUGGUUGGGAAUUGAAUCAGGAACAGUAAGGGAAACAGAAACGAAAAUGGUGUCACAUAAUCAAUCCAAAUUGAAUCGUUCCAAAUCAGCAGCCACUGCUGUGAAUUUUCAGAACCAUUUGCAAAAUCACUCAAAUCAACAAAAAAAAAAAAAAAAAAAAAAGAAUUCGGUAAAGUAUAAGUUAGAAAAAGAAUUAUAAAAUAUGCAUAGUUUUAAAUUAAUAGUUGGACAAUUUCUCAUGUUUUAUCUACUGUGUAAAAAAAGAAUUAUAAAAUAUGCAUAAUUUUAAGUUAAUAAUUGGACAAAUUCUCAUGGUUUAUCUACUGUUUCUCGGUGAUUGGUGAAUCUUCCGCAGAGAAACAGAAAUUAAUGUAGUGUGCCAAACUUCCAUUAUGAAACAGCUGAACAUUGAGAAAUGACCAUUAUUUAAAACUAUGAUUGAACCCUACUAAAAUAUUAAAAAGACUAAAAAGCUUGAACAAUGAAUAAUAAAUCUAAAUUCAUGAUAUAGACAUCAAGCCCACAAAUAAAUGCACAGAGGUUCACAUUUACAGUAAGUUUCAUGCUCUUGGUUUUUCACCAUGUCAAAGACAUCCAAAAAUUAUCCAGGCUUAACCUGAGUAACUUCAUGUUGAAUCCUCAAAAAAGCAGCAAUUCUAAAUUUAGUGUAUAGAUGCAAUCUAGUAAAUAAUACUGAGGUAAGGAUAUUGCCAAAAUUAAAGACUUAAAGUGUCAUGUUGAGCAAGUUUCUUUUCCCAAUCCUUGCCAAAGCCCUAAACAGGUCUAACUAUAUUCAUGCAAUAGGAAAAUAGCUCUAUGGCUGCAUUGCAUUUUAAUAUUUAUAUUUUGUCCAGCAAAAGUACAAUGUAUCUCUCCUUUUAUGGCACCAAUAAUACAAGAAAGCUUUUUUCAUUGUUCUUACACCAUCUUCUAAUUAAAUCAGGCUCUAAAUUUUACUUCUUUCUAUGGAUUGUUACUUUUCCCUAACCGGCAUGGAAGUCUAACAUAUAUCUAGUCAUGUUUAUGCAUCAUAAAGUUAAUAAACAUUUUCACCAAUUAGUGUUUGUAUGACAAACACGUGAUAAUUGAUUUUUUAUGGAGAACACUAGCUCAAGCAGACAACUGACUGAGGUAACUGCAUUAUUGUCAACAAAAUGUAUCAAUUGACAGGCAUAGAUGACACGGUCUUCCUGUUGGAUGGAGGGAGCUUUUAUUUAUUCUAAUCAUAUUGCUCAUGAAAUAUUGUUCAUACUCUUCUUUUGCUAAUGUUGUUAAUAUGAACCUUUAUUUGCUUAAAUAUGAGUAACAUUUCAUAAUUUAUAAGGAACAGAGAAAAAAAAGAGUGGAAGGUGAAAUUUAACCUUUACUUCCCGGUAGUGGACAAGUACUAUGUGAGAAAGUUCCCUGCAUCAUACGUGACUAUGUAAGAAACAGUAGACAUAAGAACAUGUAUUGUUUCAGAAAGUUUCCUGCAUUAUAGAUAACAAUGCAAGAACCAGAAGAUAACAAAGUUCAGAAGUGAAAUCUGAAAGAAAGAAACCAGAUACCAUAUGCCACAACUUUAAUGCAAAUUUCCAAAUUAAAAAAUAAAAAAUAAAAAAAAUAAAAAAAAAAAAAGAAGAAGAUUAAUUGUAAACGCUAAACAAUAAGAAAUCACUGCUGAAAUUUUCACCAAUCACAAAGUUAUUUAUUCAAUGCUUCACAGGGAAAAAAAAAAAAAACUAUAAGCAACAGCGAGAAAAUAAGCAAGUAUUUGCUAGGGAGACUUGGUUUAAUCAUAAAAGAAAAAGAAAGUCAGAAUCUUCAAGAGAAAAUAAAUAAAGAGCCAGAAUUUUAUCCUGACAUGCCAAAGCUCCAAGUUUUGAUAAUGUUUUUGAUGUGUCUGAUUUUCUCACUCGCAAAUGAAAGAGAGGGAAUCACGUUAAACGUUUCUUUAAGAAUGACAUGAAAAAGAACUUAAAGCCCUAAUUAUUUUGUCACUCACUCAACAAUCAACUUAGUACCCUGCAAACAAGAGUGGUUUUUUUUUUUUUUUUUUUUUUUUUUUUUUUUUUCAAGAUACCUGCGUGUUAAACAAUAAAGUUAAAGUAUAGCAACAACCAAUUACCAAAAAGACCAGUUGCUAUUUGUCUCUAUCUACUACAAGGUUCAAAAAAUCAUUCUUAGAUCUAAGUUUAUUUCUUGUUCUGUAGAAAAUCCCAAAAUUAUGUACAAUAAUAGCCACAAAUAAUUUUAAAAAUGACAGCUAAAUGUACAGUGAAAUAAUCCAAGUCAAACAGUAAACACAUUUCAAUGCACACCACACUCAAACUAACUUGAUCUUCUUAUUCCGAAGAAUCUAUAAUCCUUAUUCCUACCAAAGAAAUAUGGCACUAGAAUUUAUCAUUAAUAAACUUUUGCAAAAAUGUAAAUGCACAGAUGAUAGUGCAAUCAUAAAAAGGUUUCAGACAGUAAAGGAGGGUAUGUAAGGAUUAACAGACUCACUCUUCAAGCAUCCAAUAACUACGUCUUUGAAAAUUUUCAUUGUCUUCUCCGUGUGCAUAGUAGCAAUGCAGCACAUCAACACUUCCAGACUGAAAGAACAUGCAAUUUUUCAGUGACAUAUAUAAGGAAGCACAAAUAAUUUUCAACAAAAAACAAUGUCCUAAACCAGAGCAAAGUAAAACAGCUAUAAAAUAAAGUUCUUGACUAAUUAAAAGCUAUAGAAUUUGAACUUUUCUAACUUAAAUCUAGAGCAAAGCUUAUCUCAGUAAAAUGGAAAGGCUAAUUAUUUACCUUGAGCCUCUCAUGAGCUUCUUUUACUGUCUUCCCAUCUUUUUUCUUCCUCCAGUUAAGGCCAUCUUUUCUGAAGUAUCUCAGCACCUUGCGGUCGAAGAGGAAAAGUGAACCACCUGCAAAAUGAAGAAAGAAACAUAAGAAUAAUGAAUUUUAUUUGAUUAAAUGAAAGAAUCAAAAUCAUCUUAGAAUAUCACUCUCAUGCCAGUAAAUAAUUUAAUUCAAUUUCCAAAAAAAACAAUAAUUGAAAUUUCUCAAUCAAUUGUUUGAAUAAAAAGCAAGUUGCGGUACAGUAAAGAUUCUAAGGAAUCUUGAUCAUAUAUAGACAAGUAGCAAAACAAACACGAACAUAGCUCUUCAAGAAGGAACCCAACAAAAAUUAAAACCAAAAUGCAGAAUCGUGCAAGUGCAUACCACCAAAGAAUAUCACGCAAAGUUCAUCAUCAUCAUCAACAACAACAACAAUAAUAAUAAAAUAGAAGUCUUACUUGUUGGCAUAUUUGGAGGCUCAGGUGCAAUACGAAAUUUAUUAUAAUUGCGAAGAAUUUCACAAAUUUCAGCAGGCCGUAGCCAUCUAUGCUGUGCUUCUACGAGUAUUUGCUCAAUAUCUGCAUUAAAUUCAUCACAUGAUAAUUUCAACUUCACAUUAAUCAAAAACCGAUAUAAAAAAAGACACGCUUGCCUGAUCAAAUGAUCAUCUUGUUUAACAAGAACUACUUUAGUAUUUUAAGAUAAAAGAAUUUAGGGCACUGAUAUAUAACUGAUGAAAGCUUCUUCUUUCUUCUACUUAAAAUUAAACUGAAAAUCAAAAAGAACAAUGCAUCAAAACAAGCAUAAUUCUACUCCAAGACAAGAGAAUUACCUAGAUGGUUACCCAAAGGGUAGCGCCUACCUUCCGCCAUAAACGCCUACUCUACAGUGUCUGUUUAUCUGCGGUUUGUGAGUUGAUUUUGAGAUUUUUCCUGACAGUUUUCGGAUUUUGGGGCAAAGAAAACUUGAGAGGGAGAGAGAGGGGAAGCAGAGAAAGUGACAGUCCACAUACAGGUAUGGAGACGGUACCGUGUUACAUAUGUCAAGAAAAUGUGUCAACUUUGACGUGAUUUCCGGAAUAUUAAUAUUGCUCUUUUCUCUCCUGUCCUUAUUUUAGAAUUUUGUUAUUAUUUAUUUAUACUUGUACUAAUAUCUUUUAAAGAAACAUACUGGACAAAUAAACUAGUCAAUCUCUUACUUUUUUUUCUAAAAUACAUAAUUGUGUCUCUGAAUUUCAAUUUGAUUAGAUAAUAUAAUUGUGUCUCUAAAUUUCGAUCUUGUUAGAUACUUUAUGUCGUUCACGUUCUUUAUGAAUUUUGCCGUUAAAUUGCUAAUACUAUAAUUAUAAAUUUAAAAAGACAUAGAGUAAAUUCAUAAAAAACACUAAAAAAUGAAAGAUUAGUAAAUUAAAAUUUUAAUUUUCUUUUGUCAAAAGUAAGUAAAUCUGUUUUUAGUAUAAUUUUAUCAUAAUUUUAAUUGAAUUAAUUCCAUCAGUAAAUUAAUCCGUUGGGCAAAAACACUAAAAAAGAAAUCUACUGCACCAUUUACACCAUACAUUUGCUUGGUCUCAUAUCUCAUUUGAUCUCAGCCAUUAUGUAAUCUCCAAAUCUUCCUAUUAGCUUCAAGAAGCACAAAACAAAGCCCAAAUCCCAGAAGGAGAAGUCCCCAAAAGGCCAUAUUUCGCGUUUCUGCAACUUACUUCCCACUAAGAAGUCAUAAGACCAAACAAAAGCUUAAUUAGCUAAAGUUUAGAAAAUAGCAGAAUGGGGUGCGUGAAAAAAAAUGAAGUCUACUGUCUAACGAGCUCCAACUCGCAGAACCGAAGAUUGAGAUAUAAGUCAAAUCCUAAGCCUUGGAGUUACAAUUGUGAAAUAGAGGGGUCCGAGAGUACUGAUGAAAUUGAGAGGAAGGAAAGAGAACCAAUGAAAAGAUGGUAGCAACAACAAAGACCAUGAAACACAAAUAAUAGAUGAAACUUUCUGUUGUGAAUAGAAGGUGAAGUGUUCUAUUGAAAUGAAGGUUGAGGAAGGUGAAAAAUCCAAGAAGGGUAUGUUGAGGAAUACGAAGAGAGAGAGAGAGAGAGGAUAGUGGGCUUAACCUACAAUGGCACUCCCUUCUUUGCGCGAGUUCCUACUUUGCGAGUUGUUGCAGUAUCAUUCUAAAUUGAGUUAAAAACUUAAAUAUAUUGUCUCCAGAUCCAACACAUAGAAUUUGCAAUAUAAUAAUAUACCCAUCAAAUCAUCUUAGUUAUCCUAACCCAACUUUCUGAACUCAGUAGGAAAUAAAUCCCAAAUUUCUCUCCUCACCAUCAUCAAUCUCCUUUUCUCGACAGUGUCUUCUUCUCUCCUCUGUAAUCUCUUCUCGUUUUUGCUAUGGGUUUAUGUGCAAAGGUUCUCCAUAACCAUAUUGCAAAUAGUAACUAUAUAUUAAACUGAAGAUACAAUACACGCUUAGUACAUGCUACAUGUUAGUUGACACAUAAAACAAAGUUUUAUCAGCAAUGAUACAUAUGAAUCUAUAUUAAAAUUAAAUAGUAAGUAUAUAUUCAUUUUUAAAGUUCUAAUGGAGCAAAAAGUAGUAAAGCUAUAAAGGAAUACUAAAGAAUGAAAAAGAGAAUUGGGUGUGCCAUAAGGAAGCGUCUAUGUAGAGUUAGUUUCUUUCUCCUUCUUCAGCCAUUAGUUAUAGGUUACUCGGAUUUUGCCUCUCUGUAAAUACACAAGCUUCUAUCGUCUAAUGGCUCCACCAAGAAUCCUUGUGACGUCUUAGGGAGCCUCAACCACCUCUACAAGGAGUUCAAUUGUUCUGUCUCUUCUCACAUUUUCGUAUCAUGGAUUUAGUUUCUUUAGACUCAGCAAAAACGAGAAAAGAUUGUUGAGGAAAUAAGAAAGAAAAGAAAAUCGGUGAGUGAAAUUAAGAAUUUAUUACCUAAUUCGAGACAGUGAGUUUAGGAGGUUGAAUUAAAUUAACGCAAACUGAUUUAUUGGGUCUCACUUUUAUAUUAUUAUAUUGUAAAACCUAGAUGCAAUUUGAAUUUGGGAUGACAAUAUAUAUAAGUUUACAAGCUGGAACAUCAGAGGAACAAAAAGUCAUUUAGAGUAAUACUGCAACAAUUCUUAAAAUUUAGAAUGUUUUUGUAGGUUAAGAUAGGACAAUGAGAAUAAGUGUUUAAAGGUAUUUUAGUCAUAAAGAAGUUUUUUGACACCUUUGACUAUAUUUUUGAGCAUAUGCAAAAAGUGGACAAAAAGACUACGAUGUCCGACGGAUCAUAACUUAAAAAUGUAAUCAUGUAUUUAGAAAAAGUAUGUCUACUAAUGUAUUUAACCAUUAUAUAGAAAUGAAAUAAUCAUGUAUUUUAGACGUCUUGAUUAAUAUAUUUAACCAUUAUACAGGAACGAAAUAAUGAUUUUUUCCUUGAACUAUUUAAAAUAACUCCAGGUACGGGGUUUGUUAUGGUUGUACUCCAAAUCCCACUUAACUCCCUAGGUACCAUUAACUAUUAGCUUUUAUUACAAUUGUACCUCAAGUUCAAAUUAGAUUCCAGAAUUAAUAAAAAUAUAAUUAACAACUUUUGUUAUAAGUACAUCCUAAAUUCAAAUUAGGUUCCAGAGUUAACCAACUUUUGUUAUAGUUGCAGUCCAUUAGAGCAUGACUUAUGUCUGUAACUCCUCAUAAUUAAUCAAGAGGAGCUUAAGUGGAACAAACCAUUUCACUUCGCACCAUCCGCCCAUUCUCAUUACCUUCCUCUCUCCUCACUACCGUUGAAUAAUAGCCCAAAAUCCAUUUUCUCUCUCCGAAAAUAUCUCCCUUUCUACUCAAAUCUCGCUCGCCUCCUCCGUACGUCUCUAAGAAAUUGAAGGCUCAUGGCGUUUAGCUUAGCUGUGGUCACAACUGAGUAGUCUUAUCUUUGUUUCAAGUAAUAACAUCGUUACAGCAGCCCCUCAAGAUAAUAUUAAUAGCAUUUAUAAGAAAGGAUAAAAAAUAGAGAAACAUCUACUAACUACCGGUUGGUUCAAUGGGAUGAGUAUCCAGUGAAAUGAGGCGCUGGAUCCCCUAACAACGUCAAAGUGAUACCUAUUACCCAACCUCACUAGUCCAAGUCCAACUCUUUGUUAUUAUAGCACCACUUGGAAUCUUUCUAAUUCUGCAAUCUCCUAAACAAUAUCAUAUUAAAGAUUAAACAGAUGAGAGAUGAAAAAAAGUAAAAUACAUCUAUGCGUUAGUCAAAAAACCAUUUCCAAUGUGCAAUGUGAUCCAAACGCGCCUGCAUUUUUAAUUAAGAUAAAUUCAGCUUACAAAGUAAAGCAAACAGGCACUCAAUAUUCAGAUUUUCUCCAUUUUUCCUCGUAAAAAUGCCAGGGAAAACUAAAGGCAUAAGGAGGUCUCAUUUUCCUUCAGUUCUGUCUGCAGGUAAUUUAGACUUGUUAAAGGAGUUGAACAAAUAGCCAAUAGAAUCAUGAUAAAUGGCACCAUAGAGAAAAUCUGGAAUUACCCGACUGAGCUUUUAUAUGAAAAAAAUAACUAUAUCUAUGUCGACUCAACUUUGAGGACUAUCUUCACGAACUCGUAUACUAAGUAACUUAUGGCAGCUGAUGGUAAAACCUGUGAAAAGUUAUUUUACACAGGUUUCAACAAGUUAGUAAAAUGAACGCGUUACAUCCCAAAAGCUCCAUAAAAAGUUUCAGAUGUAAGAGAAAUAAGAAAGGGCAACAAUCCACAGAUUUAUAUAGCCGUCACUCGUCAUUAACAAACACUAACAAAGUUUAAUUUAAUAGCAGAUAAAAUAGCCCAGCACAUGCAUACUUGUGUAAUCUUUCAUCUUGUUGUGUUGCUGUUUAGAGUUCAUAUAAUACCAAAAUCAACAUAUUUGAAACAUUGUGCUUUUCUCAAUACUCAAGAGUAGCUCCGACAACAAUGCCAAACAAACUAUCAACAAUGGAUGCAAAAAUACACGUAUUGAUUUUACAUACAGUCAAUUCCCAUGAAUCAAAAUUGCCCACAGGUCAAAUAUGAAAUACUUUUUCCAAUUUCCUAGAACUGUUUUCUCACAGACGUUUUUGCAAUUUAAAAGCAUUAAGAAUCAGCAACAUAUACUUGACGCUUAAUCUAAGUUGAAAAUGUUUAAGAACAUAUCCUCUUGUCCAUAUGAGUCAAUCAUAUAACUUCUUGAAUAUUACAUUUUACUUUAUGAUACCUGUCUGCCUUCAUCUAAUGAAGGAAGAGGUGCCAAGUCCUUGUUUGCAAUCCCAAAACAUAUCCAGUUUCCCUAUUUCAUUUUUAUAGUGGAGUUGCCAAAUCCUGUUGCAGUUCCCAUCCUAAUAAAGCCUACUCUAAUGUUGUACUCCCCCCUUCUCAGAUUGAACCAACUACACUCAACAGUUUUCCUAUUUUUCGUUUUGAUUAUAUUGCAAUUGCUUUGAUUUGAUCCUAGAACACCACCAUGGCACAAUGGCUCUGCCAACUUAAUAAUGAAAUGUUUUUAAUCAUAGAUUUCAACAGUGAAAUACUUAAAUUAUGGGCAUCUAAUGACUCUGAAUAGAGUUCAAAACCUCUAUAAAAUAAAGGAAGAGUUUUCCCAAAAUAAUAUGCCGUGUGACUAUACCUGCAAUAAGCUGGGUAUUAAUCCUGCAUAAAGAGCAGGAACGCCUCCUUGUUGAACUAUCUUGGCACAAGUUGCCAAUGCAUUCAUCUUUGUCGCUUCGACUUGCAUCUGAAGGUGCCUCCUCACAACUUCAAAUGGAUAUGUAGCAGCUUCAGAACAACAACCAGCAAUAGCCCCAUAAAGCAAUGUUCUGACGGGUCCCAACUCCAGCUGCUCCAACACAUUUAAUUCUUGGCCUUCUUGUUUUAAACUCUGAAGUCUCUUCUUCCCUUCUGGUGUAUGGAGAUAAGCGGACUUUAAUAUAUCAUAAACACCAUAGAAAACUGCGCCUGAAGGUGCCAUGCUCACUAGUGAGGGUACUAAACCCUUGUAAAGAGAAAAAAAUCCUUCUGUCUGGAUCAUGUGGCGGAAUGCUCCAAUUACACCACCCAAUGCUUCCCCACCAGGUGCUACCAUCUUUGUCCGUAUCUGCAAUAGUUUAGAGCAUUAAUAUGAAACCGAUUUGCACAAGAAAGUCUGUAUGAAACAUUAAAAGGCUGAAGCAAUUAAGAAUAAAAAGUAGUUGGCUGAAAGAAAAGUUAUUUCUGCUGCUGUCAUUAUAUUGGGUUUCAUCAAUUUUGGCCAACAAAAAGAAAGUGUCUAUCAGCAUAGAUAAGCAAUGGGUUGAAUCUCCACGGUUAGCAACCAGAGGUCCAAGGUUCAACUUGUCCACAACUGAUGCAUGUGGUUUCUAGGUGAUUAGAAUGCAUAUCAUAUCAAACUAGUAAAAAAUGAAUAGAAUAUUAAGAAAGAAAUAAAGAAAGAAAGAGGGGAAGACUUUCUACAUAAUCCAUUAAAUAUUACAAACAAUAUACAGAUAAUUUUUUACCUAAUCGUUAAAAUUGUUUAGGAAGCAUUACAAUGUCAUUCGAAAACAAAUUAUAUAAUUAUGAACAUGAAGCACUUGAAAUAAGGAAUGAAGCAAUAGAACAGACUUCAUUUCAUUUAAUAUUAGCUGGUUUUGUUAAUAAAUGAUAAUACGCAACAAUUGAAGUGUGAGCUGACGGCCCUCCCAAAAACAAUAAACAAACAUUGACUUCCAUGAAAGUAUAGGACUUGUAAAGAUGUUAUCAUGAAAAAAAAAGAAUAGAGAAAAAGAAAAAAGAUUUUCUAUCUUUUAAUAUCUGAGAACAUAUAAAAUUGAAAAGGUUCCAAAUCCAAGUAGAAACAAUGGUGUCAGAAUUCACAGUUUCACCAGCUAAAUACUGUAGGUAAAAUCUCAUUUUCACAAUUUCUGGACAAAGGAUCCGCAAUCAGCGUAAACAGCAGAAUUCUAGUCUAAGAUACCAAGUGAACCAUUUCAAGAAAAGUAGCACCAAUGCUGCUUGAGAAGAGAACAUUUGGCAUAAUUAACAUGUCCAGUACCAUUUACUUUAGUAAGGCUGGAUCCUUCAAGCAACGGAUCAUAUGCAUUUCUAAUUGCAUCAAAUAUACAGCACAAAUCAGUUUGAAGUCCUGGCAUGACUUGUAUAAUCCUCGAGAAAAAUUGUGAAAAUUAGAGCACAUAAAUACUCCACACAGCAAAAUUUCACCCUCUAAUAAAAAUUUAGAAUAAUAGGAAGAUUCAAAUGGCAAAGAAUUAUGUGCCAUGACCAAAAUAUUUGAAGUUAAUACAUACAGUGUCCAUUGGCAAGCAAAGCAAGGAUGCAGUAAUUCCAGCAGCAGCUCCAGCAAUGAAUCUCUCAAAAUUUGUGGUUUCCUCGUUCCCAGACCAUUUCAGUAGUUGAUUCCUGUAUGUAUCAUAAGCAUAGAAAUUGAUAGAUUUAAAUGGAGCAGUGCGGAGAAUAUUGACAAAGUUCCCCUUCCAAAAACCUUUCAGUCCUUCAGCUGCCUUAAUUUUCUUGAUGAGUUCUAAAAGGUUCUUCUGUUCGCCACGAACUACAUACUCAAGCUUCAUUCUCUCUAGAGGCGCUAUAAAAGUUCUGCUUCAACAGAAACGAAAUUGUAGUUCACUGACAUUGGACAUGGAACAGGACAUUGAUACAUACAUGUGCAGGCACAGCUUUUCAUACAAAAAUAACGCAUGACAUGCUUCAUGGACAACAACCAAAUGAGCUACUAAGUUAAUAUUUGUACGUAUCAACCAACAAGAUAAAAAAAAAAAAAAACACUUAAAAGUUAAAACCAACUCAAAUCAUGAGAUAAAUUUAUCGAAGCUCUUGCUUUUACAAUUGUAUGCUUGAUAAAAACAUUAUUAUGGACCUCAACAUUAGCUCACCAACAAGAAAAGGUCCUUAAUUUUCAAUUAUUUUGUUCUAAUUAAUCAUAAUUUUAACAGAGUUAAUUAACAUAAAACAUCAUAUAUACCAUGCAUUUUUCAUAAGCAGCCAAAGUAAAGUCGAAGGAAAUUGAAAUAGUAACAAACAAAUGUAACAAAAGCUAGUAAACAAGAAGCAAACACCUUGAAACCAUAGCAGCAACAGCACCAGCCCAGAGAUGCUUGGUCGUAUUCAAAGCAGCUGAUCCUGAUCUCGAUCGCAGCACAUUAACCUUCUUCUCCUCCGUGAAAACCACUGCAUUUUCUUCCUCCAAAUUCUUUUCCUCUCCAUUUUGCCCCAAACUCUCUCGCGAUUCCCCAACAUAUCCUUCUUCUUCUUCGCUUCCCUUUAUUGACAAACUCACCGAUAAAAACAAUCCUGCUUUGCGACCCUUCUUUCCUCGCCGCCGAUCAACGAACCUCAACGUUUUCCGAGAAAAACAAGAAGAACGCGGUUCAGUCUUGGACGAUAUUAACGAAACAAAUGAACGACAAACAGUUUCUUGAUCGAGGAACAGACCGCCACCAUGAAGGAAGUGCUGAUUGGACGGUUCAGAAUCAAGCUUGAGCUUGAUUAGAGUGGAGAAGAAGAGAUCGUGUCCGUACAUUGCGAGAGUUGGUGAAACUGAAAGAAAGGUAGAAAGCAGAGAAGAAGAGUAACAACAUGAGAGUAUUAUAAUAAAGAAAUGGAAAAUUGAUAUAGUAGAGAGGCUUGAAGAAGAAGAGAGAAUAGUAUGGACGUGGUGGUGGUGGUGGUGUAGUUGGAGAAAUGAAAGUGACAGCGGGAAUUUGGAAGAUGCUGUAGGAGAUGCAGCGGUCACUUGGCUUGCACCGCCGUUGUCACAUUGCUUUCAUCGGAGAUUUGUUGGUUUCCUGUUUGUUACACUUGUUGCGUGCGAUAAUGUUAAUGCGAAAAGACAAAACAAGGAAGAAAUUUGUCAAAAGAACUAAGAAAUUGACAAUGUUCAAAUGAAGUUCAUUUUCUUAAUCUUUUUGAGUAUUGACAGAUCAUCAGGUAACUAUUUGUUUGGUGUUCACACCUUAAUGGGUGUGUGAGUGCUUUUUUUUUUUUAAUUCCAUAUUGGAAUUUUCAUUUGGUAAUUAUAUAAUGGACCUGCCAUUUGUUAAUUUUCUUUUUUUUUAAUUCUAAUUUCCUAUAUUUAUUUUUUAAAACUCCAAAUGUCCAUUAUGCUUUAUAAAAUGCAAUAUUGAAUCCAUACGACCAAGGUUAGUGUAAUGACACAUAAAAUCCCACUAACAAUAAAAGUUAUGGAAUUUUCAAAACCAAAAUAGGUCAGCUUGGUUAGGUUUUUAGGCCAAACCCGAAUAUUCCUAACCCUAGUUUAGAUGCGUCUCUAAAUAACAAUACUCAAAUCAUGAGAUAAAUUUAUCGAAGCUCUUGCUUUUACAAUUGUAUGCUUGAUAAAAACAUUAUUAUGGACCUCAACAUUAGCUCACCAACAAGAAAAGGUCCUUAAUUUUCAAUUAUUUUGUUCUAAUUAAUCAUAAUUUUAACAGAGUUAAUUAACAUAAAACAUCAUAUAUACCAUGCAUUUUUCAUAAGCAGCCAAAGUAAAGUCGAAGGAAAUUGAAAUAGUAACAAACAAAUGUAACAAAAGCUAGUAAACAAGAAGCAAACACCUUGAAACCAUAGCAGCAACAGCACCAGCCCAGAGAUGCUUGGUCGUAUUCAAAGCAGCUGAUCCUGAUCUCGAUCGCAGCACAUUAACCUUCUUCUCCUCCGUGAAAACCACUGCAUUUUCUUCCUCCAAAUUCUUUUCCUCUCCAUUUUGCCCCAAACUCUCUCGCGAUUCCCCAACAUAUCCUUCUUCUUCUUCGCUUCCCUUUAUUGACAAACUCACCGAUAAAAACAAUCCUGCUUUGCGACCCUUCUUUCCUCGCCGCCGAUCAACGAACCUCAACGUUUUCCGAGAAAAACAAGAAGAACGCGGUUCAGUCUUGGACGAUAUUAACGAAACAAAUGAACGACAAACAGUUUCUUGAUCGAGGAACAGACCGCCACCAUGAAGGAAGUGCUGAUUGGACGGUUCAGAAUCAAGCUUGAGCUUGAUUAGAGUGGAGAAGAAGAGAUCGUGUCCGUACAUUGCGAGAGUUGGUGAAACUGAAAGAAAGGUAGAAAGCAGAGAAGAAGAGUAACAACAUGAGAGUAUUAUAAUAAAGAAAUGGAAAAUUGAUAUAGUAGAGAGGCUUGAAGAAGAAGAGAGAAUAGUAUGGACGGGGGGGGGGGGGGGGGGGGGGUGGGGGAAAAAAAAAAAAAAAAAAAAAAAAAAAAAAUGGUGGUGGUGGUGGUGUAGUUGGAGAAAUGAAAGUGACAGCGGGAAUUUGGAAGAUGCUGUAGGAGAUGCAGCGGUCACUUGGCUUGCACCGCCGUUGUCACAUUGCUUUCAUCGGAGAUUUGUUGGUUUCCUGUUUGUUACACUUGUUGCGUGCGAUAAUGUUAAUGCGAAAAGACAAAACAAGGAAGAAAUUUGUCAAAAGAACUAAGAAAUUGACAAUGUUCAAAUGAAGUUCAUUUUCUUAAUCUUUUUGAGUAUUGACAGAUCAUCAGGUAACUAUUUGUUUGGUGUUCACACCUUAAUGGGUGUGUGAGUGCUUUUUUUUUUUUAAUUCCAUAUUGGAAUUUUCAUUUGGUAAUUAUAUAAUGGACCUGCCAUUUGUUAAUUUUCUUUUUUUUUAAUUCUAAUUUCCUAUAUUUAUUUUUUAAAACUCCAAAUGUCCAUUAUGCUUUAUAAAAUGCAAUAUUGAAUCCAUACGACCAAGGUUAGUGUAAUGACACAUAAAAUCCCACUAACAAUAAAAGUUAUGGAAUUUUCAAAACCAAAAUAGGUCAGCUUGGUUAGGUUUUUAGGCCAAACCCGAAUAUUCCUAACCCUAGUUUAGAUGCGUCUCUAAAUAACAAUAUUGAAUUGAUUAUAAUAAUCGAGAGCAAGAGGCUUGUCCUACAUAUAAUUAAAUUAUUGUUUCGUUGUUACUAAAGAGGGCUAUUGCUUCCUCUAAAAGAAGCAUUUAAAGUCGAUCCCUUCUUUAACUUUAACAACAACCUCCUCCUGCUUCUUAAUUUUCUUCUACUCUUCAGUAGUGUCGUCAAAAGGAUUUAAUUACGGAAGAAUACAUAAAUUUCAUUCUUGAAUUUUAUUAUUUUAAUUUUGUACCACUUUUAAUUUUUAUUUUAAUUCAUGAAAUACUUUAAUUUAUAAAAUCAAAUUUAUUAAAUAUUUUGAUUGUGUUCACUUGUAGAAAACUGGAGUGAUUUUUCUAAAAAAAUUUAAAAAAUGAAAAAUAAAAUUUUGUGUUCAAAUCAGUCAGUUUUCUAUUUGGAAAACUAGAAAACAGUUUUUCAAAACUUAAGUAACAUUUGAAAAACAGAUUUAAGUUGUUUUUCAAAAUUUCUUUUAUGAUAAAAGACAUGUUUUUCUAUCGUUUUUCAUUUUUUAAAAAAAUAUCAUUUUAUAAUUAAAAUUAUAAUAUCUAUAAAUAUUUUUUUCUAUGAAAGAGAGAGUUUUUCUGAAAAUUUGGAAUACAAGGCUCACCAUUUAUAAUAUUUUAACCCGAACUCUAAUUUAGACAUGUCAACACAAGUAGAUUGGUUGUGUUUGUAUUGGAUUUUUUUUUUAUUAGCACAAAUUUCUUUUAUUAUUAAAAUUCAGGAAAUUUUUAAUAUAGCUACGUAUCUAAACCCGAAUCAUUAGGCCUCUCUAAAAAUUUAUUGAAUUGACCAUUAACUAUUUUAUUAAUCAUGUUAAAUUUCUGAACUUACGUGCGACAAUAAAAUUAAAUAAACUACGAUAUGAAUAAUGAAUCAUGUAUCUAAAUAUAAACACAGUAACCCUAUAUAUAAAUUAUAUAUAUAUAAAAUUAUAUGAAUUGUAUAUUUAAACUAACAAUAUACCCGUGUUAUGCACGGUUAAAAAAACAAAAAAAAAAGUUAAUUUGAGAGAAUAUAUAUAUAUAUAUAUANNNNNNNNNNNNNNNNNNNNNNNNNNNNNNNNNNNNNNNNNNNNNNNNNNNNNNNNNNNNNNNAUAUAUAUAUAUAUAAUUUAUAGAUUCUUAGAUGAAACUUCUUUUAUUAUGAUUUUAAGAAAUAUUAUAAAGAUAUAUCAAUAGUAAAAAAAAAACAUAGCUUAAUUUUUUAUUAUUAAAUUACAAAUUAGUAGAUAGAUUUGUGUUAGAAAUAUGAAUUAAAAAUAUUAAAAUUUAUAGAGAUAAAUAAAAAAAAGUAAAAAAAAAGGUGGUAAAUUUUAUUAUUUUAAUUCUUUUUUAAUGUAAAAAAUAAUUAACUCGUUAUUUCAUUUAAAUCCAUGAAUAAAUAAUUUAUUUUAAAUAAUUAAAAGUUAUAUAAAUCUUCAACUUAUCAUGUUUUUAGUAUUAUAAUUAAUUAAUUAUAUUUAACAUAGUUUAAUUUAAUAAAAAAAUUUUUGAUUUUUUAAUAUAAAAUAAUAAUUGCCCAUAUCAUGAAAAUUUAUAAAUUAUGUAAUUUAUUUAUAUCAUUAAAAGUUAUAUAAAUUGUUACUUAACACACAAUUAUUCUCUAACGUUAUAUUAAUCAACUACAUUUAAGAUGAUUUAAUUCAAUUAUAAAUUAAUUUAUUUUCAAAUAAAUAUAAAAUAAACAAUUAAGUCAUACACGUAUCAUUAAUUUGGAAUCUUAUGUGGCGACACCAAGGAAAAUUCUGCCUCAUUUAUAUAUAUAUAUAUAUAUAUAUUGAUUUGAUAAUUUACGGCUGCAAAAACAUAUUAAAAAAUAUUUAGAAAAAGAGACAAAAAAAAAAGUUUGAGUAAGAACUACUAACCAUAUUAGUGGAAAAUAGUUGAAAUAUAGAAAAAUCUAAAUUUUUAAGAAAAAAAUGAAUAAUAUAUUUAAAAGCAAGAUUCAAGACACUUUUGCCAAAAAUAUAAAAGAUACAAUGAUACAACUUAUAUAUAGUAUUUCUAAGAAAGCUAAAGUAUUUUUGAGAUUAAAUAAUUUAAAAUAAAAAAAUGCAUUACUACACCAUUGAAAUAACCCAAAUUUUUAUUUUCAAAGAUUUUUCAUUUAAAUUUAAUAAAUUGACAGCGUGGAAAAUGUAUCUAAUUAUUUAAAUGCAAAUUAAUAAUUCGUACAGUGAUAAACCGAAUUGAAAACCAAUUGAAAAGUCAAAAAAAAAAUCAAGUAAAAAUCGAGAUUUGGGCUGAAUCGAACCGAACCAGCCCAAACCCACCCAAAUCACAUCUAGAACCCUCUUCUCCCCCUAUUUCCAGCGCAUACUUCACCCUCCCCUACACCAUUCUGUGCCUCCACCUGUACGCAGCACCACCACAGCCUUCUCCUCCACUUUCUUCUUCUUCUUCUUCUUUUCUUUCUUUUAUUUUCUUUCUUUCUUUCUUCCUUUCUUCACUGCGCCUGCAUUUCUGGUGAGACAGAGCAGCAGAGCCGCGCCACCCACGCCAUCGCGCGCCACCGGUGCUCCUCGCCGCAACUCAGUCGAACAAUUCCGGCAGCAAGAUUUUGGGUAUAUAAAUUUAAUUUUUAGACUAUUUUCAGAAUGUUUUUCUUAGUUUUGUGAUUAGCUAAUUUAUUUUGCGUUGAUUUAAUUCUAGUAUAAUUCCAUUCGUGUUGAUUUAAUUAAGGAACCUUGAUAAUGAUAUAUUAAUAGGAUUAAAGUGUAGAUUAAGGUAGUUUAGAUAUAAUGUUAUUGUAUAUUAUAAUUUUGGUUGUGUGGGGAUGAUGAGAUUGAAGGAGGAUGGGAAAAAUUUUAUUUGAUUAAUUGUCCGACGGACGGGCCGUAUGUAUUGAGUUGAAUAUUUGUUAAAUUGUUGAUAUUUUAACAGGUGGAUAGUCCAAUUUUUAGGGGAGAUGCUGCCGAAAUUUUGGUAGAAAAUAAAAUUAAGUAUAGAAAUUAAAUUACUUAUAGAAAUUAAAUUGUUUAUAGAAAUUAAAAAUAUAGAAUAAGAGUAUUAGAGUGAUAAAUAAAUAAAGAAACCCAAUAUAUAUCUAUAAAUAUAUAUAGUUUAAAUUAAUAAGUGAAUUAAAUGACUGGUAACCAAAAUUAGUAAACGAAUAUGAAAUAGAAUCUUCAAAUUUAAAAUUCUUACUUAGAAUUUUAUUGUUUAUUUUAGAGGUUUAUAAAAUUCCGAAAUGCGAGGACAAAGGCUGGAAGCACGUGGCUAGAAAGGCAGUCCCCUUAGAANNNNNNNNNNNNNNNNNNNNNNNNNNNNNNNNNNNNNNNNNNNNNNNNNNNNNNNNNNNNNNNNNNNNNNNNNNNNNNNNNNNNNNNNNNNNNNNNNNNNNNNNNNNNNNNNNNNNNNNNNNNNNNNNNNNNNNNNNNNNNNNNNNNNNNNNNNNNNNNNNNNNNNNNNNNNNNNNNNNNNNNNNNNNNNNNNNNNNNNNNNNNNNNNNNNNNNNNNNNNNNNNNNNNNNNNNNNNNNNNNNNNNNNNNNNNNNUGUGGACUUGGGAUGAAGUGGGUCACCAUGGGUUUGUGAGACUGUUACUGUAUAUGGAUCUUGAUACUGAUUACUGUUAGCCGGGUAAAUGGGAGAUCGGCGCCCCCGUGUGCACCUACUGUUACCGUUACUGUUAACCACAGGUUGGCUUCUUUAUUUGGGCGCACCGGAUAAUCUAGGUUUGAUCGCAGCCCGCAGGGUGGCCUCCUGUUGUGAGCGCCUGAUGAUCUAGAUUUGAUGGAGUCGACCGGGUUGCCUCCUGUUGGUAUAAAAAAAAAAGAGAGAGAGAGAGAGGAUGGAAAAACAAUGAGAGGGCUGGUCAAGUGAGGAUUAGACCGGUCGGCCAGAAUAGGGGAUCGGCUCCCUGGUGCACACGUGAGAGGAUGGGCCAUGUGGGAGGACGGCUCAUCGGGGGUUUCGGUGACUCCACUGACUAAUUUCCACGUGAUGUGAUUAUAUGAAGGUGAUAAUACUUGUGAUUGCUGUUGUAUUGCCAUUUGUGUGACAAACUGCAUGAUCAUAUAAUUAAACGGUAACCAGAUAAAAAUAUUUUCGCAUCUGUGUGAUUGUGUGGGGUGAGAGGGUUAUCUAACCCUACUCAUUGAGUUUGGCGCUCAUCCCUGCCUACCUAUUUUUUUUUAGG
rnacentral:lncRNA from 1 species